rnacentral:lncRNA from 1 species
UUUUUUUUUUUUUUUGAUUCAGAGGAAAAUGCAUUUCAUUUUUCCAGGUCGAAGAGGACGGUUUUGGUGGCCACGAACAGUUCGGUGGCUCUCGCCGAACUCCCGUAUCUCCUGUUGUCUCGGCCACAUUUCGUUUAUCUCGUCACUUUACGGGUGUACGUAAAUGCAAAUUUUUGUGACCUUACAUCGUCAAUGAUUGGCGAAGUAUCUAGUAAGACUUGGCAGGUUUUGGCAUGAGAAAAGAACGAAAGAUCACUUUCACUGGAUGCUCAUUCUGGAUUGUUCAAGCAAUGGUGGCGACGUGGUGUACGCGCGCCAAUUGUUCCACUAAAAAUGGGCAGAAAUUCGAAAAUGUUCAAAAACAGAUCAGGUUCAUAGUAGAAGCUCAAUGAUCACCUUGAGGUUGUAGGAAACGUCGAAGUGGAGGCAGAGCCCGAAGUGCAGGAAAUGGGCGGGGGAUCCGACGCCGGGCAGCCGCGGCAGCGGGUCGCCGGCGUAGGUGAACCGGAAGUGCCGCUUCUUGGGCCUGUCCAGGUUCCGCUCCGCGAACAUGGCGAGCAUGGCGUCGCCCACCUGCGGCUGCCCGAACGUGUACACCCCGGCCAGCCGGUCCAUCACCGCCUUCUCCCGGUGGUACGCCAUGACCGUCGCGAACAGCACGGCCAGCGCGCCGCCGCUCCCGUGCCCGGUCACCAGCAGCCUCGCCUUCGGGCUCGCCUCCAGGAGCCCCUUGACGGCGUCGCGGAUGGUGUAGUACGCGUACACCUUCUGGGGCUUGCCCUUGAUGUGCUCCACCCACUUGGGCCACCCCAUGUUGCGCUGCGCGCCCAGCGCGUGCGUGUAGGCGGCGUGCGCGCGCCCGAGCCGCGGCACCUUGUACCACGACGGGUCCAGGUCGGCGCGCCACCGCGCCGCGUCGAACGCCGGCGUCCCCCGGAACGCCACCACUACCAGCUCCGCGUCCGGCCCCGCCUUGUCGCAGAACACGAACGCCUGCGCCGUGUACGCGCCCUCGAACUCUGGAGCAGUCGACACGCAUCAGUUCAGAUACACACACGCAGGUGUGUCCGUUGUGCACACAGAAGAGUUGAUUACCGUUCCAGCAGUUGUAGAACUUGACGAACUCCAUCUGCCAGCGGCGGGUGACCACGUCGCGAAUGAAAGCCUCGUUCUCGUACGCCACCUUGGAUGCCAUGACGCACAGCGCGGCGUGGUGCCGGCUGUCCGCCGGCGCGAUGCUCCUGUCAAGAUCGACUCGCCGGUCGAUGAGCCCCGUCAGCGACCGGUAUGACGCCGACGAUCUGUCCGGAUACUCCAUCUUCCCUGCAACCAACCAAUCAACCACGGUAGAGUUCAUUUCAGUUUGCAUUGCAGCCAAGACGGGCGCCAAACGCAAACAGUACGCGCGUGCACGCGCUCAUGAGCUGACCGUGGAGGACGUUGUCGACGAAGUUGAGCGCGAGCUCGACGGCGGCGCCGAUGGCGGCCACGGGGCCGGCGAGCGAGAGGAGGAGGAUCUGCAGGAGGAGGUUGAGGAAGAGGGCGAGCCGGCGGGGGAAGCUGCGGAUCUCGGUGCUGGUGAAGCAGUCGACGGCCUUGUUCCGGCCGACCUUGGGCGAGAAGAGGAGGUGCAGGAGGUCGAACGGGCUGGCCCUGUCCGGGCGCAGCACCAUGUAGUCAUUGCUGAAGCAGUAGUCGAGCUUGCUCAUGCUGCCCGGGCACCAAUCGACUGUGCUGCAGGGUCGUGUAUGUUAUGGUUCUUUGGGCACUACAGGGAAAAGAUCAAUUGCGAAGAUGUUUUUUUUUCUAAGCCGAGUUUCCCCACCGUUUUUUCACUGGCUUUUGCUGCGUCUCAAGAUUUCUCUUGUAUGUUUGCUGAGGAUAUCUGACUAUUUGUGGUUAACUUUGGAUUGAAAUUUUCUGGCUUGUGGCAAGAUACUGUGACUUAUAUAUUCUGGCUGUGGCUGCCUAAAGCCUAUCUGUUACAUACCUGUCAUAACUCAUAAGAGGCGGCAUGGAAAUUAUAUGGAACGAUACGGGGAAUAUCGAAUUUUAGAUUCUUAAAAUUUUCAUGUGGUUUUCAGAGCAGAUGGGUCCCUGUCAUUCAUGAAUUGCGUAUUUUGGAUUCAUCUUUCAUUUGUCCGAAAUAGCGAAAUCCUGAAUUGAUAGUGCACACUAGAGACUUCCGUGAUUGAGAGAAAUAUAGGGCGCGUUUGGUGGUUUGUAUCAACUCCAACGGAAUGGAUGUAACUUUUUCCGAUUUUAGGCUAUUUGGGUGUGUGUAAAUACUAUUCGGCAUAUAUGACCCAAUGCUUUGAUCCUUUUUCAGAGCCAGACCCGGGCGAUACAACUCUAGGGCACUUUUGGCUCUAGUGGUAAUGGGGGAGUGUGUUUGCAUGUGCGUUGUUCCACUCAUCCCCGAAUCCACUUCACAUGAUCCCUUCUAAUUUACAUAAUGAUGCUUCGAUUCGAAAUAAGCUCUAUACAAAAAAGAUGCACAUCGAUAUUGUGGUUCCAUUCAAACAAUCGGUUCCUAAUUUUAUGAAUUGUAAAUCUUCAAUUCAUGCAAAUUUUUGGAGGUUCUUCGGAUGAAUGUUGGCAAAAUCUUAGGACCCGGUCAAUCGUUUGAAAUUUCCUUUGACCAUUAGCUUCAUCUCGUCGUUUCACAUGAGUUUCGUGUUGUACGUUUUCGGUUUCACCGGUGUAGACGAGUAUAUCUAUGUCUCCCUGUUGACUGUACAAACGUGUCACACCGGUGUUAGUCGCCUGAAAAAGAUUCCCGCCCAGGCAAUUUCGUGACCAUUGGAUGAGCAUCUGAGGGCUUCCACACCUUCUUCUACGUUAAGCAGGCCCGUUGAAUGAGCAUCCGAGGGCUGCCACACCUUCUUCUAUCUCAAGCCGGCCCUUCCCUUCUUCCGUUAGCACCCGUUUUCACGUGAGGUAAGUUCACCACAUAGCCAAACAACAACAUGUUGCAUCUGGGGAGAAAAUGCUUGUACUAAAUAACCAUGUGUGUGGUUUUCUCAGCCAGGCCGAGGAGGAUGCAAGCUACCAAACUAUAUGCAUAACAUGAUUUUUACCCCUUACUAACGUAGGCAGGCCCAACUCGGACAUACUCCCAAAAAACGCAAACACCGUGCAAGCUACCAAACAGGCCAGUAGAGAUCAAUCAAUAGUGACAAGUAAACGGAAAAAUGAGUCGGUGUUUUAGCGCGUGGGGGUGAUGGUGGUGGGGAGGUGUGUAAUUUUCCUUAGCUGAUCAAACAAUCACAACUUACUGACAUGAUUGACUUAAUUAAAUUUGAUGAUUGAAUGAUGCUACACCCAUAGGAGUUGUUGGGUUAAGAGAAAAGGUGAUGUAGCACAGAAGCAAAAGUAUUUUCUCUCAGUUAAGAACCAAGGUUUAAUCUAACCAGUAGGAGCCUACAAGAUAACAAGAUAAGCAACACCUGUACACAAACAAAAUAAAUACUUGCACCCAAAUUGGCAAGGGGAUUGUCAAGCCCUUCCUCUUGCUAGUUACAAGGUUACAAACAAAUAAAUGGAUAGAUAAUGGUAUAGUGAAACGGCAAAAUAUUAACGGCAAAUAAAGAGGAAACUUUGUAGAAGAAAGUAUUGAUGAAAAAUAGACCCUCACUAGUGGCAUCUCUGUCGAAAGAAGGCAUGGUAUGGUAGAAAAAUUACUAUUGAGAAAUUGACAGAAAAGAAGCAUUUAUAAUUAUGAUCAUUCAUGGGAUAAUCUUGCAUAGGCAUUACGUUCGCGAUAAGUAGAUCGUUAUCGAACUGCAUCUUCUACUAUUACUCCACCCCGAAACUGCUAUCCAACAUGCAUCUCCAAGUAUUAAGUUUACUAGGAACGGAGCAACGCAAUAAGCAAGAUGACAUAAUGUAGACAGAAAGAAAUCUAGCGAUAAGAUAAAUCCCCAUCAUUUUAUCCUUAGUAUCAACGAUACAAAUACGUGUCUUGUACCCACUCUCACCGGGAUAUAGAACACCAUAAGAUUGAACCCACUAGUAUGCACCACUCCCUCUGAAGAACUACCCAUCAAUCUUGGCUAGAGAAGACGAAUAGAGUAGAAAGCAUACAUGGCUACUCAAUUAUCUAGCAAAGAAACUUCAAAAGAUUCAAUAAUAUUCAAUGAACAAUCUGAUCAUAAAUCUGCAAUUCAUCGGAUCCCAACAAACACACCACAAGAAUUACAUCGGAUUGAUCUUGAUCCUACGAAGAAGAUGAUGAACAUGGUAUUGAAGAUCCAAAAGAGAGAGAGGACCAUCUAGCUACUACUAUGGGCCCGUAGGUCCUAAAGGAACUACUCCAUCUAGCUACUACUAUGGACCGCCAGCAAGGUUGAUCAAGAGGCCUUUUCCAAUGGCUUCCCUCUCCGACGGAGCUCCGGAACGGGGCUCUAGAUGGGAUCUCUUCGGAACAGGGCUUGCGGCGGCGAUAAAAUUCUUCUGGAGGUACGAUGAAUGUUUUUUCUAUUUAUAGGAAUUUAUGGUAGUGGAAUAGGUCAAGGCGGUUUCCGUGGGCCCCACAAGCCCAGGUAGCGUGGCUAUCCCCUGGUAGCGCCACCUGCCCUUGUGGCUGGAUGGUGGGUCCUCUCGAUGACUCCAGAAGCUUCAUGUGUUUCUUGUUGCCCACAAAAAACUGUGUUAAAUCGGCAACAUAUUUUGACCUCCGUAGAUAUUUAUUUUCUUUGAAACCAAAAACAAGUAGAAAACAAUGCACCAAAUUAAUGGGUUAGUUCAUAAAAAUAUAUAAAAUAAUAAUAAAAGUAUAUAAAAAAGAUAAUAUAGCACAACAAUAAAAACUUAUAGAUGCGCUUGAGACGUAUCAAAGGACACUAACAAGAGUUCUGGUAGUCGAAAUGAGAACUUAUUGUAAAAAUCUAGCUUUGGUCUGUCAAUUCUAAUACACAUUUUUGGCCAUUCUGGUGUGAGAACUGUCCAACUUUGGUCGUCUUCAAAAUUGAAAUUGGUUUUAACAAUUAUGCAGAGUUAGCUUUGCACACGUCUCAUCCCAUUUAGCACAAAGACGGAAUUAAAGUUCUUUUUUAAAAUAAAAAUCAACUGAUCUGAAGACACAUAAAGAAGUUAGGUAUGGUAAUCUUUUGUAUAGGAAACUAAAUAUACAGGAAUAUGUAGGUUAUUAAAAUGAACAUUUGGAAGAAAAAAAUGGAAAAAGGGAGAACCCUUGAGAUUGUUUUAAGAAAAUAAAAAAUGGAUAUUACAAAAAAAAUAGAAUAGAUAUUUUUUUUGAAAAAUUAGAACCUAAAUGAUCUCACCACUUAGGGCAUCUCCAACACCAUCCCCUAAAACACCCACAUAUGUCUGGACCCGACCUAUUCCCAGACUACUUUCCUUCCACUCCACCCCUGCUCCCCUUACUCUGCAUCUGCACGCUCCCCGUGCGCAGCCGUCGCUGUACCUCUCCGGCCACCGCAGAUGCAUUGUCGGACAUCCAUAGACCCACCCACGCGUCCGCCCCCUUGGACUAUGGUACCGUCCACUCCAGAUCCGUUUGCAGCCAGGUACCCUCUGCCCCUGCCAACGGCGUUCAUGGCAGACACCACGCUCGACAUGUGUUUGGUCAAAUGUCAUCGAGCUUUUUUUUUACCUUCUUAUUGUUUUCUAGCAUAAGCACGAUGGAGGAUGAGUUGUUGUGCGAUGCGGGGAAUGUCGUAUCUAUGGACUUGGUAGGCAUGAGGCAAGGGGGCUCGAUUUUUUCUCGAAACGUGCAUGCUUCGUUUCAUGGGCAAAAGCACUUCGUGUCCUACAACUUGCACGUGAUCCAUGAACACAAUGUGAAGUCGCUAGCCCAACUUCAUCAUGAAGUUUUGCGGUACGAUUGCACAAGUGGAGAGAAGGUGGCCACUGGGUUUGUCAGCCAUAGAGAUCGUAAGUUUUUCUUCUUGUUGCUCUACAUGUUCGUCAAUUCAUUGGUUCACUCAAUGUUGUAACUUGAUAAUCAUCAUGUUGUAUAGCCUGGAUGCGUUGUCGUGUUGUACCACAGAACCGAGAAUAGGCCAUUUACGUUCAUACAUUGUUGGACGAUGCUCAAGGGGCACAGUGCAUGGGAUGACAUGUGCGGAUUCUAACUCGAGUAUCGUCGAAUUCUGAAUCGAUGAAUUCAAAAAACUUGUUGAACAUCCAGUUAUGUUGGAUGUAAUAUUUUUAUUUGAACAAUGGUUGUGCUAGUGAUUUUUUAAGUGGUGCAAAAAAAAACAGAGACGAAGGUUUAGAGGACAGGGUUGGAUGGCCGGCUCCCGUAUGUGUGCCAGUGGAUGAGUUCGGACAAGUCUACGGAGAAAUAGUGUGUCUAAUUUAAGGGUCGGUGUUGGACAUGCACUUAUACAUCAAAGUGACCAAAACACAAACAAGACGCUGAGCUGACCACGGAAUGAUACUCUUUUUUACGCGAAUCUUAAGAGCUUUAUUGCAUGACUGGAAUUCGGUUACACUCAGCUAAAAGGCUGCUUACAAGGAAGGAAGGACAAACAUCCAUCCAACACUUAGAUACCAAUAAAGGAGGUAGGAUAUUUAGCACAAAGAUCGGCCACGCCAUUGGCAUCCCUUGUAGCAUAUUAAAUAGAGAAUGAAGCGAAACUUGAAGCUCUUUCCCUGAUUUCAUCGAAGAUAGGAAUAACAAUUGACCUGGUGUUGUGACGUGAAUUCCAGAGGUUCACCACCUCUAAGCAAUCGAUCUCCAUCACCACAUGUAGUAACCCCUCAGCUGGGCAAAAAUAACGCACUCUCACAAUGCUAGAGCUUCGACAAUGAAAGGAUCGGUGACACCGGGCAAGGGCUUACUCCAAGCACCCAAGGACACGUGUGAGUGUGCUACACCACCUCCGCCUCCCACUUGUGCCUGGGUGUCAAUUGCGCUAUCUGUGUUAACUUUUACCCACCCAGGAUCCGUGACCGCCAGCACUGCCCAACAGAAAUAUUCCGAUGAUCUUUUGGCAACUCAAGCAAUGCUAGAUCAUCCCUUGCCCUGUAUUGGGUUAUAUCCUUCUUCAACAUGAGUCCAACGAUUCCGUAAGGUCCAAAUAGCAUCAUGAUCGUAAUAUUCUUGCACCUAUAUGUAUUGGAGAACAUUGCAUCAACCACGAGAUCCCUUGACCAUGUAUCUGGAUGCAAUGGCGGAAGAAGCCCAAGACUUCUUCUGCUACCUACCAAAAGCUUCUAGCAUGGGAACAAUGAACUAGGACCUGCAUUAGAUCUUCAUCCAUCGCUUUGCACAGAUCUCAUAGUGAUGUUAUUUGAUUAUGACGGUAUUUCAUGGUAGUAUAAUUUGGAAGAAUACCCUAAAGCGCCACCAAAAUACCCGAACUCUUUGGAUCACCUUGAGUUUCUAGAGAGCAGCCCAUAACUGUUUGUCCAACGAUUAGGUUCCCGCUACCGUCCCUUUCUCUGUAGCACGCAGCACAAGAGCACGAUAGGCUGAUUUUAUAGUGUAUUCGCCCGAUUUCUCAAGAGCCUAGGCCAAGAAAUCUUGACCAUCUCUUGCCCAUAUUGGCAUAUUCAGUAUUGCCUCAGUAUGGUGCAUAAAGAAUUCGUACAUGCACAUGCAGUGCGGUACUGGCGUAGAAUAUAUAUGUAUUAAUAUCAAAGCAGAAGCUGUUGUACGUAGUACUACGUGCGAUACUGACGCGGAAUAUUCAAAUCGAAGCAGAGCUGUGUACGUAGUACUACUAGCAUGUACUACGAUCCUGGUACAUUUAUUUAAACAUCAGUACAGACACAAGCGCUCAUAUACACGCGCAUACACUCACCCCUAUGAACGCACACACACGUACAUCCUACCCCUAUGAGCACCUCCGAAAGACUGAGCGGGCAUAUCAUCUUGAGAUUUACGAAGUCACCGUAGGCGCCUCGUCGUCGACGGGAACAUGUCCUCACACUGAAUGUGCAUCGCCCAAAAUUUUGAAAUAAAUCCAGAAAUAAAUACGAGCAUCAGGCUCCUGAUACUUAAACGCUGAACUGUCAACUGUGGAAACUGAAUAUGGAUGUGUGAGUACUAGUACUAGCAUUUUAAAAAUAAAUAAAUAAAAAUACCAGUACUAGCGCCUGAGCACGAUCGGCAAAUCGUGAAAUCGCACCACGGGUACGUACCGACGCACGGCACGCAGAGGCUGAAGAAAAGAAAACUAUGCUCGUUCAGAAGCACCGGUGGAUGGAUUGGUAACGUAUAUGUGGCGUGCGUGUUCGAAAGCAACCGAACUCGGAUCGGAAGCGACGUAGGGCUGAGACGUACGUUAUCGUGGCAACGCAGGCCCGUGGUCGCUCCGUCACUCGCUCAGCUCACGUCGCUGCCUAUAGCCGUAUCCGGGCGCGCGUGUCGCCCCGCUCGCCCGCGCGGCGUCCGCCACUCGGUACCCGACGCUUCUCGAUCGUGCGCCGCGAGACUUUCUCGUCGCUCCCUGCAGCCAACACCACUUCCACCCGCGCGCAUUUGAUAGCUAGCCUGGCCCGGCCGGCGAUCUAUCCACCCAGUCACCUCGCGUCACCCGCCUAGCUAUCUAUCUACGCGCGCACCUAGACCCGAAGAAGCUGUCCAGCUAGUCACUGACUGUUAGUUGGAUCAUGGGGGCGCUGGCGGCGUCGAUCGCGUCUCACGUGCCGUCGGGGAUGCUGAGCGCGGGGCUGGCGGCGCUGGCGGCGCUGCCGAACCCCGGCGAGCUGGUGCGCAAGGCGGCGCGGCUGGAGGACGAGCUGAGGGAGCUGCUCCGGCUGAACGGCCGUGGCGCCGGGGCGGGGGCGGAGCAGGGGGCCGGCAACGGGGCGCAGCAGACGCGGGAGCGGUUCCUGCGCGCGUACGAGCGGCUCAAGGAUGAGCUCCUCAACGACCGCGCCUUCAACUUCGACUUCACCGAGGAGACCAGGCAGUGGGUCGCCAAGGUACGUACGUGCUACCUGCAUGCGCGCGCGCCUCUCCACAGUCCGAAUCAAUCUCGAGCUACGAAUAAUCGUUCCAUACGGAAGAAGUGUCCCUUGCGCCGGCUGGUCCGACUAACCAUGACAUGCAUGAUGCGUUGAAGCCCCGGAGAAGCUUCGCGCUCCAGGCUCAGGCGUCCAUUUGGGUGUUUGUAUUUUCCGUCGAACACCAUUAGCGUUUCGGAGUCGCCGCUUAGAGUUUAGUUCAUGAAAAUGCGGACGUGACCUGCAUGGCGUCCAUUUGGGUGUUUGUAUUUUCCGUCGAACGCCAUUAGAGUUUCGGAGUCGCCGCUUAGAGUUUAGCUCAUGAAAAUGUGGACGUGACGCGUGCAUGGCUGGACGCUAAAGCAUCCCCAACAGCCGCCCCAAAAGACGUGCGCGGUACGUUUUCGCGCACUUCAGCGGAGGCGGGAAAUUAGAGCGCGCGGGAAACGAUUGCGCGUGCGGGGAAAAAUGCGGCAGCUCGCGUUAGAUUUAGCGCACCGCGUCCGGCGCGUCUAUAAAAUUGAAGCGCCCUCUGCCGCUCUCUCGUCGCUUCCUCUACCGCUUUCUCACCUCGCCGCCGACACGCCACCAUGCCGCCUCGCCGCCGGGGAGCUUCGGGCUACCGCGGCGUCCGCGUGCGUCCGUCCGGCACAAACUCCGCCGAGAUUCGGCCGGGCGGCGUGCGCCUCGGCCUCGGAACCUUCGACACCGCCCAGGAUGGCGCCCGCGCAUACGACGCUGCGGCGUGGCGCCUCCGGCGGUCCCGUUGGGACAUGAACUUCACGGACGUGGCGAAGCGGGAGCGGGCACAGGAGUUGGCGCCUCCCCUGCGGCUUAUCACCGACGAGGAUCAUCGCAAGAACCGGAGACGGGAGCGCCGUCUCAGCCUGGCCGAGAUGGACAAGGAAGCCAUGGAUCUGUGGCGCCAACGCUUCCCGCAAGACAUCAUCAACGAUGAACAGUUCAUAGCCGAGAGGAGGACGGAGAGGAAGGAGAGGAGGGAGGAGCGAGCCGCCUAUCGCGAGGACAAGCGAACGCGGAAGGAGAUGCGUCGUCCUGGGACUCCAGCGACGAGCGGUUUCUUGACGCCUACGCUCAGACGUCGGAGGAGGACAUCACCGAGGCAGAGUCCGAGUCGAAGAAUGAUGAGUAGUAGUAGUUUUUCGUUUUUUUAUCUAUCAUAGGAGAAGACUAUGAACUAUCUAUGCACUAUUUUGUAUCAUAGAAGCAGGCCAUGUGACGAACUAUCUCACAUUUGUACUAUCGAAACCAAAUGUGUAUCAAAUCAUAGUUCACAUAAUAGGCGUCAAGAAAAAAAAAGAAAUAUAGCACGCCUGCUGGAGCGGCUCGGACUCGCUUUAUUUUGCGGCGGCUGCUGGAGCAAGGGCACCGCCGCGCGCAAAAAUUGGCUGACCCGACGCUGUAUACUGAUUUUUAACGCCUCGCGCGUUGGCGGCGGCCGCUGGAGAUGCUUAACUGGAGUUCCGGAUAACUGUUAGUACGCUUUAGUUACCAGCACAACCGGGCUCGUGUGGUUGUGAAGUGACGCCUCCCUGUAGUCACAGAUGUCCAUGUCGCUGCGGAAUAUCGGGGAUAAACUCACAGUCCGUAAGUCACUGGACGGCAUUUUUUUUCUGAGAAACAUCACUGGACGACGGCAAUUUUGUCGCACGUCUGACAGCCACGAAUGGCCCAAGAUAGCGAGACUGGUUUCGUACUGCAAAUGGCCCGCUGGCCGCCUGGCCCAACUUUUCGUCAGGCCAACUCCACCGCGUGACCCUAUUUUGUCCGUCCCCGUCCGUUUGGGAUAAAAGGGACAAACCGAGCGGUCCAGCGCGCGGGAGCAAACGGAUUUUUGUCUGUUUUGUGUCCGCUUUUGACCUAUCCUCGGCCCAAGUUUGCGCUGUUUUUGGGAUAAAACGGACACCACGCGGACGCGCCGGCCGUCUGCGCGUGUCCUCCCCUGGCCCGCCCGUCGGUGGCACAGGGCGGACCUUUUUCUAUCCGCCCCCUCCCUCCCUCCGGCCGCACCCCACUCCACUCUUCUCCACUCUUCCCCACUCUUUCCCUUGCCGCCGCCGCUGCCAUUGCAGCCAUGCAGCUCGGACGCGCGCUCGCCCAGCCCCUUCCCCUCGGCGCCGCCGAGCUACCCAACCACGGCCACCUGAUUUGCGCACCCGCUGGCCGGAUUUGGGGCGGAUACGGUCGGUCUUGAGCUCGCCCGGCUGUGGGAGGCUGGGCCGCGCCAUGGACUGGCCGGGCACCUCGCCGGAAGGCCCUGGCAGGGCCGCAAGACCACAUGCAGGCAGUGGCUCCUCCUCUAGCCGCUCGGAUCUGCACCGUCGGUGGUCCGCCGGCAGAUACACGAAUGGCGGCCGGCCGGGCUCGGUGCUUGCCCAAAAGCUCGUCGACGCACCGUUGCCACUCAUUAAGUGCGACCACUGCCCAAGGAUGGUCGUGCGCCACGUGUCUACAACGCCGGAACAUCCCGGAUGGGUGUUCAUCAAGUGCUUAAACGAUGGGGUAUGUGCUCUUUUUAGCUUCGGUUUGUGCUCUCGGAGUAGACUAGUUGUGCUAACUUCAAAUUUUAUUGUGUAGAAUGGAUGCAAGUUUUGGUAUUGGGAAGAAGAGUACAUCGAUAUAUUGAUAGAGCGAAAUUUAGUACAUGUUCGUGCACUUUUAGCUAGCAUAGAGGCUGUAGAUGAGACAAGUGCACUUGUUGCUAAGGCUAGACACGAGACUAGGUGUGAGGAAGCAACAUCGACUUCUGGCUUGAAGAAGAAAGUAGGGUGCAACAUCGAGCCUCCUCCACAGAUCAACAAUGAGUGCAUCGAGAAGGCCCUAACGCAACUCAAGGGAGCAGCUAUGGAAGUUGGGUAUCUUUUAAAAUGUAUUCUUGUGGUUGUUAUUUUCUUUGGUAUUGCUUUACUAGUCAAAAUGUGACGAUGUAUUGUCAUGUAACAAAAAUGAAUGAUAAAAAAAGUUAAGGACUUGCAAAGAAAAAUGCACGCGGACAGGAUGCGGCCGGGAUGCGUUCGCGCGCUGGACGCACGGCCACCGCAUCUCAGGACACGUCCGGACACGACCCCAAAUCCCUACCCAAACGGAUAGAAUCCGAACAAAACGGACGUCUGUUUGGUGUCGUGCGGUGGAGUUGGCCUCAGGGUUCCAGUUUCGUGUCUCGCCCGCUCUUUUCUGUGCACUGGAAGCGUCUGUUAGUACCGUUGCGUUGUUCUUUGCUUCCGACCUUUUCCUCACCUUCUGCUGUUGUUUCUAACCGUCGCUCCCGUUGGCACUAUAAUCGUUUAUUGGCGACUGCUCUUUCAGAUGCUGGACUACAACGUGCCUGGAGGUGAGCCGCCCUCCUUCUUCUGCAGUUUGCACCAUGAGCACCAACAAGACUCAGUUGAACCUAUGCAGCUAGCUCUGUCUGACACUCGCGGUUUAUAUCUGAACUGAAGGGAAGCUGAACCGGGGGCUGUCAGUGAUCGACAGCUACAUGCUGCUGCGGGAGGGCACCGAGGUGGACGAAGAGGACUUCUACCUCGCCUGCGUCCUCGGCUGGUGCAUCGAAUGGGUGAGCUAAUUUCUGUAUUGAGUGCUUCUCUGGGAGAAGACAUUACAAGUACAUUGACUUGUGUCUCUGAAUGUGCAGCUCCAGGCGUCUGCCCUGGUGAUGGAUGACAUCACGGACAACGCCUACACCAGGCGGGACAACCUCUGCUGGUACAAGCUGCCCACCGUGAGUACUCACUUCACCACCCAGUACAUCUCGUGGGAGACCAGAUAAGUUAAUAACACGUGUUGUCUGUCAGGUUGGCCUGUCUGCGAUAAACGACGGCGUGCUGCUGAAAUGCCACGUCCAGGCCAUCAUCAAGCGCUACUUCAAGGAGAAGUUCUACUUCAUGGAACUCAUGGAGCUCUGGAACGAGGUAUGCACGAUCCAAUGCGCGCCAUCAAAUCAGUUUCCAGAGUUAAUAUCUGUACGUACAUUUCCAUGGCAAUAACAGAGCUGUUUGCUGGAUGGUGUGCAUUGUUUGGACAGAUUGGGUUGCAGACCGCCAUGGGGCAGAUGCUGGACCUCAUCACCACCCACACCGGCGCCAAGGAUCUCGCCAGAUACAGGAUCCAAGGGUAUGCCGUUAGAGUCUUGUAGCUUAACAACAAGUUCUAUAUAGCUUAAAAAGUACUCCCUCCGUAAACUAAUAUAAUAGCGUUUAGAUCACUAUUUUAGUGAUCUAAACGCUAUUACAUUAGUUUACAGAGGUAGUACUUACCAGUAAUUACAUAUCGCCACCUUGUUUAUGACAGGUACCGCCGCAUUGUCAAGUACAAGACAUCCUACUAUUCCUUCUACCUGCCGGUGAGUCUCUGGCCCUGAAACUGCAGUACACAUCUCCUGCCUCUAGUUCAGACUUGAUCAGCCUGUACCGACUAUUUUGUAGUCAUUCAGAAUAGUUGCCUCGUAGAACUUCGUUGCAGCAUCCACGAGUUCUCUUGCACAGAACACUCUUCUUAACGCAAAAAUCGGUCCUAAAAUUGGUUACUUUCAUGCAUAUAGGUUGCCUGUGCAUUGCUCUUGAAUGGCGCGAAACUGAGCGACUACGUCGAGCUCAAAAAUGUACUGAUUGAGAUGGGAGUCUACUUUCAGAUACAGGUCCGGUGCCCUCCAUAAGUAAACGUUUCUUCUGUAAACUUCAUCUAGCAUGUAUGGCUGAAAUGCGCUGCAUUUUCAGGACGACUACCUCGAUUGCUUCGGCGACCCUCAAGUUAUUGGCAAGGUACAAAAGAUUCACACCCUCUGUCUUCCUUACUGUUUCUUGCUCGCUUCAGAGUUUCACUGUCUCACUGUGCUGCAGGUUGGAACAGACAUAGAAGACUACAAGUGCUCCUGGCUAAUUGUCCAGGCUAUGGAACUGGCUAAUGAGAAUGAGAUGAAAAUACUAUAUGUACGAAAUUAAGUCACUAAUUUGAGUUUUCAGAGACCCCCACUUCAGUGAAAAUGUUUAUUGACCUGCUAGGAGAAAGUACUAAAUUGCAAAUAUUUCCAUGAACCAUGUUAAUUUCUCAGGAAAACUAUGGCAAGUCUUGCCCGGAAUGUGUUGCAGCAGUGAAAAAUGUUUAUAAGGAGCUUGAUCUCCAGGUAUAACUCUUUCCAGCCAGAUUUCACAUUCUGCCUCGAGACUCUUCUAAUAUUGUCUUAACCUGAUUUUUACUGCUAUCCCUUUGUUCUUUUUCUUCUUUUGUUAAAAAAGAAACAGAGAACUGCCAAUCUGAUGAACUCUGAACUAUUUUGUUUAUCUCCUCCUGCACCCAGGACAUAUUCUUGGAGUACGAGUCAAGAGUUUACAAGCACCUAGUUUCAACCAUCGACGCCGAGCCAGACCGUGCGAUUCGGGAGAUUUUGAAGAUCUUUCUGAAGAAGAUUUAUAGGAGAAAGAAGUAGACGACCCUCUCUGCUGUUUUCACAACCGUGAUUACUACGGGAGGAACCUUAAAUACAUUCCACGGUUGGGGGUGUCAUGCGCUCCCUUGUACAACGUGUAUGAUAUGAACUGUAUGAACUCGAGAAGACACUGCCUUGAAAUAAAGACCAUAUAUGUGAAGACGACCUCUCCUCAUAGGACCUUGAGUGGCCCGCGUGGAUCAUGCUGCCAUCACUAGCAGGGGCCCGUACUAGCCCAUGUACAUCGUAUUAAGUACUACUACUCCCUCCGUCUAGAUGUGUAAGUCAUCUUACGAAAACCAAAUAAUUACAAAACACUUAGCCGCGGUGCAUUAACUUCCACCUCGUUUCUUGUUUCUUGACAUAUCAACCAAUAAGAGAUGUGGGUGUGCAUGUUUUUAAUGACUUGAGACUACCAAACACGACAUGCAGUGGUUAGUUCAUUGCAUGCAAUACUAUUAAUUAGCAAAUAAACAUUAAGUUCUCUCGUUUUCCCCUCCUCCUUGGUCACGGUGCACAACCUAAGAUGACUUACUCACCUAGACGAAGGGAGUAGUAUUUUUUUCCUGCAUGCGUGAUUAAUACAGUUUUUGGCAACAGCGACCAGUCAGGUAGCAAAGACCAGCGGUUGCCAUGUCCAGGGUGUCCACACUCAACCAAGUUGCCGCAGUUAGCUUGUUUGGUCACUAGUGACCCUCCAUCGAUCUAUGAUGUCAUCCAUGAAAACUGGAAGUGGUAUUCUUGUAUGCUAAUAUCUUCCACGACUUAGGUCUGAAGAUUUCUAUUGCAUUACAAACUUAUUUGAACACAUUAAUCUUUCCCUAAAAAUAGGGGGGAAUAGUUGGGCCGGGAGUGUCUCGCCCGUCUGGCAUGUUGAUGUUGAAAUGAUGAGACAACUGCACCUGAGCCUAAAAGUGGAAUUCAAAUACAAUCCAAAACUGAUGUCAUCUCGUUUCUUCUUCCCAUUAUAAUAGACACAUUGAUGCUUAUAGUGACACAUGGUAUUCAACAAAUUUGCGGUGAUGGUAUCUCAUUCAUUGUUCAAGAUGACACAAUAUAUAUUGGCCUAAAUUUGAAAUUCAGAUUUAAAAGAGAAUUCAGAUUUAAAAGAGAAACCAUUAUUUUAAUAGUGAAAAACAGUUGGGCUGCGGCCUGAAGGAAAAAUGAGGAGAUGUCACAAUGUAUAUAAAGGCAAAUAUGAUCCCCCUAUUCUCCAUAACAAAUAUGAUUCCCUUAACUAUGAAAGCCAUCCAUAGUACAUAACUCUUUUUCUUGGAACCCAAGAGCCUUUUUGUUGUCUCCUCUUUUCUCAAUCAACAGUCUAAAUUAUGCAAGCUCUCAAAACCUUUUGUUACUUGCAAAUAUUAGGAUAUUAACAAAGUGUGUUUAUAACUUUAUAUACAACAUGGGUUGGUUGACAUCGAAGCUCGCAUUUUCCUGGAUUUGUUUCAGGCCUUUUGGCGAUGUGUGCUCGGUGAGAGGAGACGUUCCCGUUGACUAUGAGGACGUCUGUGACGACUUCGUCAAUCUCAAGGUGAUGUGCCGGCUCAGUCUCUCGGAGGUGCUCAUAGGGGAAGGGUGUGUGCAUGUGUGUUCAUAGGGGUGAGCGUAUGUGCGUAUGCAUGAGCGUCUACGUCUGUAUUGUGUUAAAAAAGGAAUAAUACAUAUUCAUAACUUCAUGGCGUUAGUAGGGAAAUAAUGAGCCCCACUUUUCUGUUUUCUCUCUUCAUAAUGCUUUAAAACUUAUAAUUGUUCACAAUCUUGAAAAUAACAUAUUUCAAAGUUGCGUAAUGACCAUUUUUUGAAGUUUUGGUUUUGUUCACUUCCUUACAAACGAAGUUGUAAAUUAUCAAAAUUGCACAAUCUUAAGUUUGUGAGCACUGAGCACGUUGCUUACCAUUGAAAUAAAUUUAGAAAAGUGCAAGCAUCCAUGUCAAAUCUAGGACUUGAAUUAUGGUGGCCCCGUCCACAGGUUUUCUUCUUUUGCAUUUGUUUCUUUUGCAUUUGCAAUCAUAUUCUUUACAAAGUUAGGGGUUUGGGACUGCCAAAAAGGUACAGAGAAACAACAACAAAACUCACUCUGAAAGCCCACCCUGAAAGACAAAGACAAAAGCGUAAUGUGAAAUACUACACAGCAAACAACAAAAGCUGGGUUCACUUGUAUAUGUCCGAUCGAAGCAAGACACUGUCAAUCUAAGAUGCCAGUGUAUUUACAAAACAACAACAAAAAAUUGAACGCUAGACUGAUUUUUAAGAAAAAAACCAGUUGACUGAUGGCUAGGAAGAAUACACCUGUGAGUCGUCAUGGAUGCAUGUAGAUGUCACGAAGACCUCGGUCAACCACGGAGUCAUGAAUGCAGCCGAUGUCACGUUACCAUCUCCUCUUACGCAAGAUAAAACGAGAGCAAUGCUUGGCGCACUUCUGGAUUUACACGGUGAAUAACCUUGCCCGAUGUGGAGCAGGCCGUCUCUAAUUCUCUCUCCAAAGCGACGGGCCGACGCCAAACGCUUUGAACGACCACAGCGGCAGCCCGCUUCAGCCGCCGGGCCUCGGGGUCGGGACAGCGGUGACCGGCAUUACACCGGUGUCAACGAACCACGGGAGUCGGAGCGCGGCGGCGGCAUCCAGCCGCCUGAGGGGAUUGCACGUGAGGAGGCCCCGGAGGACCUCGAACCCUUCCUUGGAUAGCAGCGCCUUGGGGAACAGCUUGCGCAGCCGGUUCUUGGGCCCAGCAGCGGACCGUUGCCGCGCUCGCCAUAGCUGCACCUCCUCUCCGAGGACCGGCGAGUUGAAGGCGGGCCCCGACGCCCUCUCGCCUGGCACGCCGAGCACGUCGAAGAUCUUGUGGAGCUGGUCGGCUUUGUCGGCCCCCUUGAACAACGUCUUUCCGGUGAGGAGCUCCGCCAUCACGCAGCCGAUGGACCAGAGGUCGACGAGCGUGUCGCGGUCCGGCUUCUCGAGCAGCACUUCCGGCGCCAUGUAGUGCCUCGUUCCGGCCGUGCCGUCUUCCUGCUCGGUCGUGGAGAGCGCCAGCCCGUAGUCGCCGAUCUUGACGAUGUUGCCGCCGCCGCCGCCGUGCUGGGCGACAAGGAUGUUUUCCGGCUUGAUGUCGCGGUGCACGACGCCGUUCCUGUGCAUCGUCUCCGCGCCGGCUAGCAGCUGCCGCACGAUGCAGCGCACGUCAGCCUCUGGGAACGGCCGGUCACCGCGUUCGAUGCGCUCACGGAGGACCUGGUACAGGUUGCGCCCGACGUAUUCCAUCACGAGGAAGUAGUCCCUGCGUCCCUUGGUGCCGGGUGUGCGCACGACGCCACGCAGAGCAACGAGGGAGGGGUGGCCGCUGCAGGCCGCCAUGAAGCAGGCCUCCCGAAGGAGCUCGCCGACCGAUUCUUGGGUGGGCAAGCUGCGGAGAGUCUUCACAGCGACGGUCUGGCCGGUGGCGCGGUGGCGCGCCUUGACAACGACGCCGAACGUGCCCCCGCCGAGCGUGCACACCUGCUCGUAGCAGCGAGAGUUGCCCAUGCGCCGCUUCCUCGUGGUCCUCCUCCUCCUUCCCUGGGCGACCUCGUCGAUCAUGGCGGAGAUGGCGGCAACUCGCCUGGCGCUCAGAGUUGUACCAGCGGCUAAGGUGUCGAUCAAUUCGCAGAUGGAAGCGACUCGGGAGGCGACCGUCGUCAUGCCUCCGGAGGCUGUCUCGUCGUCCGCUAUGUGGCAAGUCGAACUUGUUCCAAUGGCGUCCGCCGCCUGGACGGCCUGGUGGCGGUUGCGAGCCCGCGGGGAGGGCGUGCACGGUGGUGUCCACUGUCCACGUCGUGCGUGGGAAUACUAUGGGAUGCAGGCAUUAUAUGGAGCAUGUUCGUGCCGAUUUCUAGCCGGGUUCGGUGUAGAGGUGUUCCUGUUUAGAAAGCCACCAUGCAACAGGGCAAUAGGCAUAUAUGAGUCGGAGUCGGUAUGCUAGGUAGUCUUGGACUCUUGGGUUUCCAGCAUGCAAAAGUCUCAGUCACCUUUGAAACCAUUGGAUCUGAGGCGCUAAGAUCCGUGCAAAAUUCCAGUUUUCUUAUGGUUUUCUUUUGGGUUCCAGUUUUCUUACUUUUGUUUUAGAAAUACUCCAGUUUUCUUAUAUUUUUUUUUGAAAAAAGAGCUCUCUCUCCGAUUUCAUUUAAGAGAAACCACAAUGUUCACAAACUCCACAUCCUAACUGCUACAGCAUACUGAUAAACUGACGGCGCUAUGGUAGAGGCAGGGAGCCAUCCCUCCCCCCUCCUGCCACAGCUCUUGUCAAGAUAGGCUACCCCCUGGUGGAAACAGCAGGUACUACCCAAUAUAUAUUGGAAACUAAACAUACCACUGGUACAUAAAUUCUUUCUUACAUGACCAAAAUAACAGGAAGAUAAAAAGGGCCAUAAACGAGGUCGAGAAACUUCAGCAUGUUUGAUCUUUAGGAGCCUUUUAGUCUAGGGACCCAGUUGUCCAUCAAUGCGCAACUUUGAAGAUCUCCGUAGCCACCCGUUCAACCUGCCUUAUGCUCUCCAUGCACUUUAUUCUUCCUUGAUUUUUCUGCAACACACACUAGUCAUGUAGAUUUUUAAUGAUCAGGUUCACAGGAACACAGGGGUCAACCACCCUAUGAUUAUCAAAUACCAAUCUAUUUCUAUGUUUCCACAUAGUCCAUAACAUUGCAGAUAUACCAACCGUCAUAAGACUCUUGUCAUAUUUUUCAAAUUUAUUGAUCCACCCCCCAAAAAUAUCAUUCACAUUGUCAGGAAUAUCUUGCAUACCAAGCAAACAUUUCAUGACUAUCCAUAGCAUUUUUGCCACAGAGCAAUGUACAAAAAGAUGAUCUAUGUCCUCUUCUCUCCCACAAAAGGAACAACUACUAUCACCUUGCCACCCUCUUUUCUUCAGGUUGUUUUUAGUAAGAAUACUCUUCCUUAGCAGCAGCCAUAGGAAGACUUUAACCCUAGGUGGCAUUUUCGUUUUCCACAUAAAUUUAUAAGGAUAUUUGAACCCAUUCUGGACCAGAUGUCUAUAGCAGGACUUGACGGUGUAUUUGCCAUAUCCCAUCAAGGUCCAUCUGAUCUUGUCUUGGUGUUCAUUCAAAGUAAAGCUCUCACACGCUUCCUUUAUGUGUUCCCAUAAUUCCAAUGAUUCCCCCAACAUUAGCAAGCCCUUUACUCAAAAUAACUGACACUGACUUGUCUUUAUCAAAACAAAUGGUAUAGAGACGAGGAUAACUGUCCUUUAAAGUUUUUGGUCCAAUCCACUGGUCUUCCUAGAAUCUAGUAUUCUCACCACUUCCCACAUUAAAUUUACAUAAAGAGAAGAAGAAUUCUUUAUGUUUCAACAAUUCACCCCAAAACUGUGAGUCCCCAACUUUGCCCUUGACACUCGUGCUACAUGUUUUUUGAGAUAUUUACAUCUAAGCACCUUUUGCCACAUCCCAUCAGUAUUAUAAAUUUUCCACCACCAUUUACAUAACAAAGCUCUAUUCAUAAGAGCUAGGUUUUGUAUGCCUAGCCCCCCCAUAUCUUUAGGCUUACAAACCUCUGACCAUUUAAGUAGGUGAUUUUUUUCCUAUCAUUGUUUUCCUGCUACAACAAUCUGGCCCUAAAGAAGUCCAUUCUUUUUUCAACUCCUACUGAUAAUCCAUAAAAAGACAUCAUAAAGUAAGGGAUCCCUGGUAAUGAGGACUGUAUCAGGGUCAAUCUCCCAGCACUAGCUAGUAGCCUCCCAUGCCAUGUCCCACAUUUCCACUCCAUUUUAUCCUCAGAGGGUUUCCAGUGUUUGUUUCUAAUUAUUUUUUAUCAAUAGGGAGUCCUAAGUAUUUCAUAGGUAGCUCCCCCACUGGACAAGUAAAGAUCCUAGAGUACUCUUGUCUUUUAUCAGCAGCUACACCAAAGAAAAAAAAUCACUUUUAUGAAAGUUGAUUUUUCAAGCCAGACAUUUGUUCAAACAAGCAUAAUAUAUAUUUCAGGUUACAAGCACUUUCAUAAUCAUCUUGCAAAACAAAGAUAGUGGCAUCUACAUAUUGCAGCAUAUUAACUCCACCCUCCAAUUUUUCAGCCAACAACCCUUUGAUUAGGCCAGCUUUUCUGGCAUUAUCCAUGAAGAUAGCCAAAGCAUCAGCAGCUAGAUUGAACAUUAGGGGAGACAGGGAAUCCCCCUAUCUCAGCCCUUUGUGUGUGGGAAAAUAAGGUCCAUAAUUUUCAUUGACCUUGAUACACACUUUCCUCCUCAUAUAGUCCCCAUAACCCAGUCUAUCCAUUUGUCAGGGAAACAUUUCCCUUUUAACAUCUGAAAAACAAAAGGCCAUUUUAUUUAUCACAAGCUUUUUCAAAAUCCAGUUUUCUUACAUGAUGAGAAGGUUAAUGGCGAUGGGCUUUUGUUGGGUCAGGGGAGUGUGGUUUUUUUAAUAGUUUGGAUUGCUUACCACAUGUGUCCCACCACUACGGGAGUUUAGCUGGGUCAUUUUUUAGCAGGAGCGUUGUGUUCUUCCAUUGUUGUCCCAUAAUUUCAUGGGCCGAAUAUCCAGCUAGUGAGCGAGAGUAUAGGUGCGAUUAUAUAUAUAUAGAAAAUGAUUCGUGCCGGCCGACCGGUCGCCUCGCGCACACACUGCUAGCUUCUCUCACGUGUGACGGUGUAUGGUGGGUCCCAGGCACCACUCGCAUCCCCACUUUCUUUGUGCGCGGGCUUAUCUCUUCCCAACAUCUCUCAGCCACUCGUCUCGUCUCUAUCUCAUCCUCAUCUCUCUCAACCCCUUUGAUCAUCUACCCAUCGCCUUUUGUAGGAUCGAAAGUAGGUCUAGAGGGGGGGGGGGGUGAUUAGACUACUUGACCAAAUAAAAAUCUAACCUUUUCCCAAUUUUAGUUGUGGGCGGAUUUUAGCAACUAGCACAAGUCAAGCAAUCAACCUACACAUGGAAUUCUAAGAGUGUAGCAGCGGAAAGUAAACAUUGCAUAUGAAGGUAAAGGGAAGGGUUUGGAGAGUGCAAAGGAAAUGGACACACGGAGAUUUUUGGCGUGGUUCCGAUAGGUGGUGCUAUCGUACGUCCACGUUGAUGGAGACUUCAACCCACGAAGGGUAACGGUUGCGAGAGUCCACGGAGGGCUCCACCCUCGAAGGGUCCACGAAGAAGCAACCUUGUCUAUCCCACCAUGGCCAUCGCCCACGAAGGACUUGCCUCACUCAGGUAGAUCUUCACGAAGUAGGCGAUCUCCUUGCCCUUACAAACUUCUUGGUUCAACUCCACAACUUGUCGGAGGCUCCCAAGCGACACUCAACCAAUCUAGGAGACACCACUCUCCAAAAGGUAAUAGAUGGUGUGUUGAUGAUGAACUCCUUGCUCUUGUGCUUCAAAUGAUAGUCUCCCCAACACUCAACUCUCUCUCACACAGAUUUGGAUAUGGUGGAAAGAUAAUUUGAGUGGAAAGCAACUUGGGGAAGGCUAGAAAUCAAGAUUCUUGUGGUAGGAUUGGUAUAUCUUGAUCUCAACACAUGAGUAGGUGGUUCUCUCUUAGAAAAAGUAUGCUGGAAGUGUAGGCACGUUCUGGUGGCUCUCUCACAUAUGGAGAAGGGGGUGGAGGGGUAUAUAUAGCCUCCACACAAAAUCCAACCGUUACACACAUUUGACCCAACUCGGUCAGACCGAUUUAGUUCAAAAUGUGAACGUUAGGAAUGUUGGUGGGACUGACUGCAACAAGUCGGUGGGACUGAUGUUGUAGGGCUUAGGGUAAACAUUAACUCGGUGGCACCGAUUGCAUCAACUCAGUGAGACCAAAGUGAAGCAAUAUGGCAACAGAGAGAAUGUCAAGCCAACGCGGCGAGACCGAUCGCUAUUUCGGUGAGACCGAAAUAAUUGCAAUAGGCAACAGAGAAUUGGCAAGGUCAUCUCGGUGAGACCGAGAUCCAUAUCGGUGUGAGCGAACUGUUAGGGUUUCUGGCAGUGGCUAUGUCAUAUGAACUCUCCAAAAGAUAAGACUGGACUACAAGGGACAGAGAGUGGAUGGCACUAUAAGCAAAGUGCUUCUAGUUUGUGCAAAAUACGGAAAACCACAUGGACAAGGAGGAGCUGCAGAGUGUGCAAAACUCAACCAUCAUUGCGAAGAAGAGAAAAAGAGAAAGGUUGUGAGGACUGAAUGUCAAGCCCACAUGUAUGUUAUGUUGGGGAACGCAGUAUUUCAAAAAAAUUCCCUACGAUCACGCAAGAUCUAUCUAUGUGAUGCAUAGCAACGAGAGGGAGAGUGUGUCCACGUACCCUCGUAGACCGAAAGCGGAAGCGUUUAGUAACACGGUUGAUGUAGUCGAACGUCUUUGCGAUCCAACCGAUCAAGUACCGAACGCACGGCACCUCCGCGAUCUGCACACGUUCAGCUCGGUGACGUCCCUCGAACUCUUGAUCCAGUUGAGGCUGAGCGAGAGUUCCGUCAGCACGACGGCAUGGUGAUGGUGUUGAUGAAAAGUUACCGACGCAGGGCUUCACCUAAGCACUACAACAAUAUGACCGAGGUGGAAAUCUGUGGAGGAAGGCACCGCACACGGCUAAGAUCAACUUGAUGUGUUCUAGGGUGCCCCUGUUGGGGAACGUAGUAAUUUCAAAAAAAUUUCCUACGCACACGCAAGAUCAUGGUGAUGCAUAGCAACGAGAGGGGAGAGUGUUGUCCACGUACCCUCGUAGACCGAUAGCGGAAGCGUUAACACAACGCGGUUGAUGUAGUCGUAAGUCUUCACGAUCCGACCGAUCAAGUACCGAACGCACGGCACCUCCGAGUUCUACACACGUUCAGCUCGAUGACGUCCCUCGAACUCCGAUCCAGCCGAGUGUUGAGGGAGAGUUUCGUCAGCACGACGGCGUGGUGACGAUGAUGAUGUUCCACCGACGUAGGGCUUCGCCUAAGCUCCGCAACGGUAUUAUCGAGGUGUAAUAUGGUGGAGGGGGCACCGCACACGGCUAAGAGAUCUCAAGGAUCAAUUGUUGUGUCCAUGGGGUGCCCCCUGCCCCCGUAUAUAAAGGAGCAAGGGAGGAGGAGGCCGGCCCUAGGAGGGGGCGCACCAAGUGUGGAGUCCUACUAGGACUCCCUAGUCCUAGUAGGAUUCCACCUCCCUUAUGGAAUAGGAAAAGAUGAAGGGAAAAAGAGAAGGAAGGAAGGGGGCGCCCCCCUUCCCUAGUCCAAUUCGGACCAGACCAAGGGAGGGGUGCGGCCACCCUUGAGGCCCUUUUCCUUCUUUCCCGUAUGGCCCAAUAAGGCCCAAUACAUAUUCCCGUAACUCUCCGGUACUCCGAAAAGUACCCGAAUCACUCGGAACCUUUCCGAAGUCCGAAUAUAGUCGUCCAAUAUAUCGAUCUUUACGUCUCGACCAUUUUGAGACUCCUCGUCAUGUCCCCGAUCUCAUCCGGGACUCCGAACUCCUUCGGUACAUCAACAUACAUAAACUCAUAAUAAAACUGUCAUCGUAACUUUAAGCGUGCGGACCCUACGGGUUCGAGAACUAUGUAGACAUGACCGAGACACGUCUCCGGUCAAUAACCAAUAGCGGGACCUGGAUGCCCAUAUUGGCUCCCACAUAUUCUAUGAAGAUCUUUAUCGGUCAGACCGCAUAACAACAUACGUUGUUCCCUUUGUCACCGGUAUGUUACUUGCCCGAGAUUUGAUCGUCGGUAUCUCGAUACCUAGUUCAAUAUCGUUACCGGCAAGUCUCUUUACUCGUUCCGUAACACAUCAUCCCGCAACUAACUCAUUUAGUCACAAUGCUUGCAAGGCUUAUAGUGAUGUGCAUUACCGAGUGGGCCCAGAGAUACCUCUCCGACAAUCGGAGUGACAAAUCCUAAUCUCGAAAUACGCCAACCCAACAAGUACCUUUGGAGACACCUGUAGAGCACCUUUAUAAUCACCCAUUUACGUUGUGACGUUUGGUAGCACACAAAGUGUUCCUCCGGUAAACAGGAGUUGCAUAAUCUCAUAGUUAUAGGAACAUGUAUAAGUCAUGAAGAAAGCAAUAGCAACAUACUAAACGAUCGAGUGCUAAGCUAACGGAAUGGGUCAAGUCAAUCACGUCAUUCUCCUAAUGAGGUGAUCUCGUUAAUCAAAUGACAACUUAUCUCUAUGGCUAGGAAACAUAACCAUCUUUGAUUAACGAGCUAGUCAAGUAGAGGCAUACUAGUGACACUCUGUUUGUCUAUAUAUUCACACAUGUAUUAUGUUUCCGGUUAAUACAAUUCUAGCAUGAAUAAUAAACAUUUAUCAUGAUACAAGGAAAUAAAUAAUAACUUUAUUAUUGCCUCUAGGGCAUAUUUCCUUCAGCCCCCUCCCCACAUAUAUAAAGGAGGGAGGGGGAGGCCGGCUGGCCCUCAUAGGCGCUCCAAGGGGGGAGGAAUCCUCCUCCUAGUAGGAGUAGGACUCCCCCCUUUCCUAGUCCUACUAGGAGAAGAAGGAAGGAGGGGGGAAGAUUAGGAAGGAGGGGGCGCCGCCCCUCCCCCUAGACCAAUUCGGACUAGGCCCAUCGGGGGGCACGCGGCCAGCCCUUGGCAGCCCCUCUCUCUCCCCUAGGCCCAAUAAGGCCCAUUACUUCUCCGGUGGUUCUGAUAACCCUUCCGGCACUCCGAUAUUUAUCCGGUGACCCUUGGAACUCAUCCGAUGUCCAAAUAACAUCGUCUAAUAUAUCAUUCUUUAUGUCUCAACCAUUUUGAGACUCCUCGUCAUGUCCGUGAUCACAUCCGGGACUCCGAACUACCUUCGAUACAUCAAAACACAUAAACUCAUAAUACUGAUCGUCACCGAACGUUGAGCGUGCAGACCCUACGGGUUCGAGAACUAUGUAGACAUGACCGAGACUCAUCUCCGGUCAAUAACCAAUAGAGGAACCUGGAUGCUCAUAUUGGUUCCUACAUAUUCCACGAAGAUCUUUAUCGGUCAAACCGCAUAACAACAUACGUUGUUCCCUUUGUCAUCGGUAUGUUACUUGCCCGAGAUUCGAUCGUCGGUAUCUCAAUACCUAGUUCAAUCUCGUUACCGGCAAGUCUCUUUACUCGUUCUGUAAUGCAUCAUCCCGCAACUAACUCAUUAGUCACAUUGCUGGCAAGGCUUAUAGUGAUGUGCAUUACCGAGAGGGCCCAGAGAUACCUCUCCGACAAUAGGAGUGACAAAUACUAGUCUCGAUCUAUGCCAACUCAACAAACCCUAUUGGUGACACCUGUAGAGCACCUUUAUAAUCACCCAGUUACAUUGUGACGUUUGGUAGCACACUAAGUGUUCCUCCGGUAUUCGAGAGUUGCAUAAUCUCAUAGUCAUAGGAACAUGUAUAAGUCAUGAAGAAUGCAAUAGAAACAUACUAAAUGAUCAAGUACUAAGCUAACGGAAUGGGUCAAGUCAAUCACAUCAUUCUCUAAUGAUCUGAUCCCGUUAAUCAAAUGACAACUCAUGUCUAUGGCUAGGAAACUUAACCAUCUUUGAUUCAACGAGCUAGUCAAGUAGACACAUACCAGUGACACUCUGUUUGUCUAUGUAUUCACACAUGUACUAAGUUUCCGGUUAAUACAAUUCUAGCAUGAAUAAUAAACAUUUAUCAUGAUAUAAGGAAAUAUAAAUAACAACUAUAUUAUUGCCUCUAGGGCAUAUUUCCUUCAGUCUCCCACUUGCACUAGAGUCAAUAAUCUAGAUUACACAGUAAUGAUUCUAACACCCAUGGAGUCUUGGUGCUGAUCAUGUUUUGCUCGUGAGAGAGGCUUAGUAAACGGGUCUGCAACAUUCAGAUCCGUAUGUAUCUUGCAAAUCUCUAUGUCUCCCUCCUUGACUUGAGCGCGGAUGGAACUGAAGCGUCUCUUGAUGUGCUUGGUUCUCUUGUGAAAUCUGGAUUCCUUUGCCAAGGCAAUUGCACCAGUAUUGUCACAAAAGAUUCUCAUUGGACCCGAUGCACUAGGUAUGAUACCUAGAUCGGAUAUGAACUCCUUCAUCCAGACUCCUUCAUUUGCUACUUCCAAAGAAGCUAUGUACUCCACUUCACAUGUAGAUCCCGCCACGACGCUUUGCUUGGAACUGCACCAACUGACAGCUCCACCGUUCAAUAUAAAUACGUAUCCGGUUUGUGACUUAGAGUCAUCCGGAUCAGUGUCAAAGCUUGCAUCGACGUAACCAUUUACGAGGAGCUCUUUGUCACCUCCAUAAACAAGAAACAUAUCCUUAGUCCUUUUCAGGUAUUUUAGGAUGUUCUUGACCGCUGUCCAGUGAUCCACUCCUGGAUUACUUUGGUACUUCCCUGCUAAACUAGUAGCAAGGGGCACAUCAGGUCUGGUACACAGCAUUGCAUACAUGAUAGAACCUAUGGCUGAAGCCUAGGGAAUGACUUUCAUUUUCUCUUUAUCUUCUGCAGUGGUCGGACAUUGAGUCUGACUCAACUUCACACCUUGUAACACAGGCAAGAACCCUUUCUUUGCUUGAUCCAUUUUGAACUUCUUCAAAACUUUAUCAAGGUAUGUACUUUGUGAAAGUCCAAUUAAGCGUCUCGAUCUAUCUCUAUAGAUCUUGAUGCCCAAUAUAUAAGCAGCUUCACCGAGGUCUUUCAUUGAAAAACUCUUGUUCAAGUAUCCUUUUAUGCUAUCCAGAAAUUCUAUAUCAUUUCCAAUCAACAAUAUGUCAAUCACAUAUAUUAUUAGAAAUGCUACAGAGCUCCCACUCACUUUCUUGUAAAUACAGGCUUCUGUAGCAUUUCUAAUAUUAUAUGUGGAUGACAUAUUGUUGAUUGGAAAUGAUAUAGAAUUUCUGGAUAGCUUAAAAGGAUACUUGAAUAGGAGUUUUUCAAUGAAAGACCUCGGUGAAGCUGCUUAUAUAUUGGGCAUCAAGAUCUAUAGAGAUAGAUCAAGACGCUUACUUGGACUUUCACAAAGCACAUACCUUGACAAAAUUUUGAAGAAGUUCAAAAUGGAUCAAGCAAAGAAAGGGUUCUCUCCUGUGUUACAAGGUGUGAAGUUGAGUCAGACUCAAUGCCCGACCACUGCAGAAGAUAGAGAGAAAAUGAAAGUCAUUCCCUAUGCUUCAACCAUAGGUUCUAUCAUGUAUGCAAUGCUGUGUACCAGACCUGAUGUGUGCCUUGCUAUUAGUUUAGCACGGAGGUACCAAAGUAAUCUAGGAGUGGAUCACUGGACAGUGGUCAAGAACAUCCUAAAAUACCUGAAAAGGACUAAGGAUAUGUUUCUCGUUUAUGGAGGUGACAAAGAGCUCGUCGUAAAUGGUUACGUCGAUGCAAGCUUUGACACUGAUCCGGAUGACUCUAAGUCACAAACCGGAUACGUAUUUAUAUUGAACAGUGGAGCUGUCAGUUGAUGCAGUUCUAAGCAAAGCGUCGUAGCGGGAUCUACGUGUGAAGCGGAGUACAUAGCUUCUUCGGAAGUAGCAAAUGAAGGAGUCUGGAUGAAGGAGUUCAUAUCCGAUCUAGAUGUCAUACCUAGUGCAUCGGGUCCAAUGAGAAUCUUUUGUGACAAUACUGGUGCAAUUGCCUUGGCAAAGGAAUCCAGAUUUCACAAGAGAACCAAGCACAUCAAGAGACGCUUCAAUUCCAUCCGCGAUCAAGUCAAGGAGGGAGACAUAUUGAUUUGCAAGAUACAUAUGGAUCUGAAUGUUGCAGACCCGUUGACUAAGCCUCUCUCACGAGCAAAACAUGAUCAGCACCAAGACUCCAUGGGUGUUAGAAUCAUUACUGUGUAAUCUAGAUUAUUGACUCUAGUGCAAGUGGGAGACUGAAGGAAAUACGUGUUGGGGAACGUAGUAAUUUCAAAAAAAUUCCUACGCACACGCAAGAUCAUGGUGAUGCAUAGCAACGAGAGGGGAGAGUGUUGUCCACGUACCCUCGUAGACCGAAAGCGGAAGCGUUAGCACAACGCGGUUGAUGUAGUCGUACGUAUUCACGAUCCGACCGAUCAAGUACCGAACGCAUGGCACCUCCGAGUUCAGCACACGUUCAACUCGAUGACGUCCCUCGAACUUCGAUCCAGCCGAGCUUUGAGGGAGAGUUCCGUCAGCACGACGGCGUGGUGACGAUGAUGAUGUUCUACCGACGCAGGGCUUCGCCUAAGCACCGCUACGAUAUGACCGAGGUGGAUUAUCGUGGUGGGGGCACCGCACACGGCUAAGAGAUCCAAGGGAUCAAUUGUUGUGUCUCCAAGGGGUGCCACCCUCCCCGUAUGUAAAGGAGUGGAGGAGGGGGGAGGGCCGGCCCUCUCUAUGGCGCGCCCUAGGAGGAGUCCUACUCCCUCCGGGAGUAGGAUUCCCCCCUUCCAAGUAGUAGGAGUAGGAGUCAAGGAAAGGGGAGAGAGAAGAGAAGGAAGGAGGGGGCGCAGCCCUUCCCCCUAGUCCAAUUCGGACUAGGCCUUGGGGGGGCGCCCAGCCUCUCCUCUCUCUUUCCCCUAAAGCCCAAUAAGGCCCAUAUACUCCCCGGCGAAUUCCCGUAACUCUCCGGUACUCCGAAAAAAUAUCCGAAUCACUCGGAACCUUUCCGAUGUCCGAAUAUAGUCGUCCAAUAUAUCGAUCUUUACGUCUCAACCAUUUCGAGACUCCUCGUCUUGUCCCCGAUCUCAUCCGGGAUUCCGAACUACCUUCGAUACAUCAAAACACAUAAACUCAUAAUAUAACCGUCAUCGAACUUUAAGCGUGCGGACCCUACGGGUUCGAGAACAAUGUAGACAUGACCGAGAUACGUUUCCGGUCAAUAACCAAUAGCGGAACCUGGAUGCUCAUAUUGGCUCCCACAUAUUCUACGAAGAUCUUUAUCGGUCAAACCGCAUAACAACAUACGUUGUUCCCUUUGUCAUCGGUAUGUUACUUGCCCGAGAUUCGAUCGUCGGUAUCUCAAUACCUAGUUCAAUCUCGUUACCGGCAAGUCUCUUUACUCGUUCCAUAAUACAUCAUCCCGCAACUAACUCAUUAGUUACAAUGCUUGCAAGGCUUAUUGUGAUGUGCAUUACUGAGUGGGCCCAGAGAUACCUCUCCGACAAUCAUAGUGACAAAUCCUAAUCUCGAAAUACGCCAACCCAACAAGUACCUUCGGAGACACCUGUAGAUCACCUUUAUAAUCACCCAGUUACGUUGUGAAAUUUGGUAGCACACAAAGUGUUCCUCCGGUAAACGGGAGUUGCAUAAUCUCAUAGUCAUAGGAACAUGUAUAAGUCAUGAAGAAAGCAGUAGCAGAAUACUAAACGAUCAAGUGCUAAGCUAACGGAAUGGGUCAAGUCAAUCACAUCAUUCUCCUAAUGAUGUGAUCCCGUUAAUCAAAUGAUAACUCAUGUCUAUGGCUAGGAAACAUAACCAUCUUUGAUCAACGAGCUAGUCAAGUAGAGGCAUACUAGUGACACUCUGUUUGUCUUAUGUACUCACACAUGUAUUAUGUUUCCGGUUAAUACAAUUCUAGCAUGAAUAAUAAACAUUUAUCAUGAAAUAAGGAAAUAAAUAAUAACUUUAUUAUUGCCUCUAGGGCAUAUUUCCUUCAGUCUCCCACUUGCACUAGAGUCAAUAAUCUAGAUCACAUCGCCAUGUGAUUUAACAUCAAUAAUUCACAUCACCAUGUGAUUAACACCCAUAGUUCACAUCGUCAUGUGACCAACACCCAAAGGGUUUACUAGACUCAAUAAUCUAGUUCAGAUCGCUAUGUGAUUAACACCCAAAGAGUACUAAGGUGUGAUCAUGUUUUGCUUGUGAGAGAAGUUUAGUCAACGGGUCUGCCAUAUUCAGAUCCGUAUGUAUUUUGCAAAUUUCUAUGUCUACAAUGCUCUGCUCGGAGCUACUUUAGCUAAUUGCUCCCACUUUCAAUAUGUAUCCAGAUUAAUACUUAGAGCCAUCUGGGUCAGUGCCAAAACUUGUAUUGACGUAACCCUUUACGACGAACCUUGUUGUCACCUCCAUAAUCGAGAAACAUAUCCUUAUUCCACUAAGGAUAAUUUUGACCGCUGUCCAGUGAUCUACUCCUAGAUCACUAUUGUACUCCCUUGCCAAAAUCAGUGUAGGGUAUACAAUAGAUCUCGUACAUAGCAUGGCAUACUUUAUAGAACCUAUGGUUGAGGCAUAGGGGAUGACUUUCAUUCUCUUUCUAUCUUCUGCCGUGGUCGGGUUUUGAGUCUUACUCAAUUUCACACUUUGUAACACAGGCAAGAACUCUUUCUUUGACUGUUCCAUUUUGAACUACUUCAAAAUCUUGUCAAGGUAUGUACUCAUUGAAAAAACUUAUCAAGCGUUUUGAUCUACCUCUAUAGAUCUUGAUGCUUAAUAUGUAAGCAGCUUCACCGAGGUCUUUCUUUGAAAAACUCCUUUCAAACACUCCUUUAUGCUUUGCAGAAUAAUUCUACAUUAUUUUUGAUCAACAAUAUGCCAUUCGCAUAUACUUAUCAGAAAUGUUGUAGUGCUCCCACUCACUUUCUUGUAAAUACAGGCUUCACCGCAAGUCUGUAUAAAACUAUAUGCUUUGAUCAACUCAUCAAAGCGUAUAUUCCAACUCCGAGAUGCUUGCACCAGUCCAUAGAUGGAUCGCUGGAGCUUGCACAUUUUGUCAACGCCUUUAGGAUCGACAAAACCUUCCGGUUGCAUCAUAUACAACUCUUCUUUAAUAAAUCCAUUAAGGAAUGCAGUUUUGUUUAUCCAUUUGCCAGAUUUCAUAAAAUGCGGCAAUUGCUAACAUGAUUCAGACAGACUUAAGCAUAGAUACGAGUGAGAAACUCUCAUCGUAGUUAACACCUUGAACUUGUCGAAAACCUUUUACGACAAUUCUAGCUUUGUAGAUAGUAACACUAUUAUCAACGUCCGUCUUCCUCUUGAAGAUCCAUUUAAUCUCAAUGGCUUGCCGAUCAUUGGGCAAUCAAUCAAAGUCCAUACUUUGUUCUCAUACAUGGAUCCCAUCUCAGAUUUCAUGGCCUCAAACCAUUUCGCGGAAUCUGGGCUCAUCAUCGCUUCCUCAUAGUUCGUAGGUUCGUCAUGGUCAAGUAACAUGACCUCCAGAAUAGGAUUACCGUACCACUCUGGUGUGGAUCUCACUCUGGUUGACCUACGAGGUUCGGUAGUAACUUGAUCUGAAGUUACAUGAUCAUCAUCAUUAGCUUCCUCACUAAUUGGUGUAGGAGUCACAGGAACAGAUUUAUGUGAUGAACUACUUUCCAAUAAGGGAGCAUGUACAGUUACCUCAUCAAGUUCUACUUUCCUCCCACUCACUUCUUUCGAGAGAAACUCCUUCUCUAGAAAGGAUCCAUUCUUAGCAACGAAUGUCUUGCCUUCGGAUCUAUGAUAGAAGGUGUACCCAAUAGUUUCCUUUGGGUAUCCUAUUAAGACACAUUUUUCCGAUUUGGGUUUGAGCUUAUCAGGAUGAAACUUUUUCACAUAAGCAUCGCAACCCCAAACUUUAAGAAACGACAACUUUGGUUUCUUGCCAAACCACAGUUCAUAAGGCGUCGUCUCAACGGAUUUAGAAGGUGCCCUAUUUAAUGUGAAUGCAGCUGUCUCUAAUGCAUAACCCCAGAACGAUAGUGGUAAAUCGGUAACAGACAUCAUAGAUUACACCAUGUCCAACGAAGUACGGUUAUGACGUUCGGACACACCAUUAUGCUAUGGUGUUCCAGGUGGCAUGAAUUUGUGAAACGAUUCCACAUUGUUUUAAUUGAAGACCAAACUCGUAACUCAAAUAUUUGUCUCCGUGAUCAGAUCGUAGAAACUUUAUUUUCUUGUCACGAUGAUUUUCCACUUCACUCUGAAAUUCUUUGAACUUUUCAAAUGUUUCAGACUUAUGUUUCAUCAAGUAGAUAUACCCAUAUCUGCUCAAAUUAUCUGUGAAGGUCAGAAAAUAACGAUACCCGCUGCGAGCCUCAACACUCAUCGGAUCGCAUACAUCAGUAUGUAUUAUUUCCAAUAAGCCAGUUGCUUGCUCCAUUGUUCCGGAGAACGGAGUUUUAGUCAUCUUGCCCAUAAGGCAUGGUUCGCAAGCAUCAAGUGAUUCAUAAUCAAGUGAUUCCAAAAUCCCAUCAGCAUGGACUUUCUUCAUGCGCUUUACACCAAUAUGACCUAAACGGCAGUGCCACAAAUAAGUUGCACUAUCAUUAUUAACUUUGGAUCUUUUGGCUUCGAUAUUAUGAAUAUGUGUAUCACUACGAUCGAGAUCCAACAAACCAUUUUCAUUGGGUGUAUGACCAUAGAAGGUUUUAUUCAUCUAAAUAGAACAACAAUUAUUCUCUAACUUAAAUGAAUAACUGUAUUGCAAUAAACAUGAUCAAAUCAUAUUCAUGCUCAACGCAAACACCAAAUAACACUUAUUUAGGUUCAACACUAAUCCUGAAAGUGUAGGGAGCGUGCGAUGAUGAUCAUAUCAAUCUUGGAACCACUUCCAACACACAUCGUCACUUCACCCUUAACUAGUCUCUGUUCAUUCCGCAACUCCUGUUUCGAGUUACUACUCUUAGUAACUGAACCAGUAUCAAAUACUGAGGGGUUGCUACGAACAUUAGUAAAAUACACAUCAAUAAUCUGUAUAUCAAAUAUACCUUUGUUCACUUUGCCAUCCUUCUUAUCCGCCAAAUACUUGGGGCAGUUCCGCUUCCAGUGACCAGUCCCUUUGCAGUAGAAGCACUUAGUCUCAGGCUUAGGACCAGACUUGGGCUUCUUCACUUGAGCAGCAACUUGCUUGCCGUUCUUCUUGAAGUUCCCCUUCUUCCCUUUGCCGUUUUAUUGAAACUAGUGGUCUCGUCAACCAUCAACACUUGAUGUUUUUCUUGAUUUCUACCUUCGUCGAUUUUAGCAUCACGAAGAGCUUGGGAAUUGUUUCCAUUAUCCCUUGCAUAUUAUAGUUUGUCACGAAGUUCUACUAACUUAGUGAUGGUGACUAGAGAAUUCUACCAAUCACUAUCUUAUCUGGAAGAUUAACUCCCACUUGAUUCAAGCGAUUGUAGUACCCAGACAAUCUGAGCACAUGCUUACUGCUUGAGCUAUUCUCCUCCAUCUUUUAGUUAUAGAACUUGUUGGAGACUUCAUAUCUCUCAACUCGGGUAUUUGCUUGAAAUAUUAACUUCAACUCCUGGAACAUCUCAUAUGGUCCAUGACGUUCAAAACGUCUUUGAAGUCCCGAUUCUAAGUCGUUAAGCAUGGUGCACUAAACUAUCAAGUUGUCAUCAUAUUGAGCUAGCCAAACGUUCAUAACGUCUGCAUUUGCUGCUGCAAUAGGUCUGUCACCUAGUGGUGUAUCAAGGACAUAAUUCUUCUAUGCAGCAAUGAGGAUAAACCUCAGAUCACAGACCCAGUCCGCAUCAUUGCUACUAUCAUCUUUCAACUUAGUUUUCUCUAGGAACAUACAUAAAACAUAGGGAAGCAACAACGCGAGCUAUUGAUCUACAACAUAGAUAUGCUAAUACUACCAGGACUAAGUUCAUGAUAAAUUAAAGUUCAAUUAAUCAUAUUACUUAAGAACUCCCACUUAGAUAGACAUCCCUCUAAUCCUCUAAGUGAUCACGUGAUCCAAAUCAACUAAACCAUGUCCGAUCAUCACGUGAGAUGGAGUAGUUUCAAUGGUGAACAUCACAAUGUUGAUCAUAUCUACUAUAUGAUUCACGCUCGACCUUUCGGUCUCAGUGUUCCGAGGCCAUAUUUGUUAUAUGCUAGGCUCAUCAAGUUUAACCUGAGUAUUCCGCGUGUGCAACUGUUUUGCACCCGUUGUAUUUGAACAUAGAGCCUAUCACACCCGAUCAUCACGUGGUGUCUCAGCACGAAGAACUUUCGCAAUUGUGCAUACUCAGGAAGAACACUUAUAACUUGAUAAUUUAGUGAGAGAUCAUCUUAUAAAGCUACCGCCGAACUAAGCAAAAUAAAAUGUAUAAAAGAUAAACAUCACAUGCAAUCAUAAUAUGUGACAUGAUAUGGCCAUCAUCAUCUUGUGCCUUUGAUCUCCAUCUCCAAAGCAUCGUCAUGAUCUCCAUCGUCACCGGCAUGACACCAUGAUCUCCAUCAUCUUGAUCUAUAUCAAUGUGUCGUCACAUGGUCGUCUCGCCAACUAUUGCUCUUGCAACUAUUGCUAUCGCAUAGCGAUAAAGUAAAGCAAUUAUUUGGCACUUGCAUCUUAUGCAACAAAGAGACAACCAUAAGGCUUCUGCCAAUUGCCGAUAACUUCAACAAAACAUGAUCAUCUCAUACAACAAAAUAUAGCAUCAUGUCUUGACCAUAUCACAUCACAACAUGCCCUGCAAAAAAAAGUUAGACGUCCUCUACUUUGUUGUUGCAAGUUUUACGUGGCUGCUAUGGGCUGAGAAAGAACCAUUCUUACCUACGCAUCAAAACCACAACGAUAGUUUGUCAAGUUGGUGCUGUUUUAACCUUCGCAAGGAUCGGGCGUAGCCACACUCAGUUCAACUAAAGUUGGAGAAACUGACACCCGCUAGUCACCUGUGUGCAUAGCACGGCGGUAAAACCAGUCUCGCGUAAGCGUACGCGUAAGUCGGUCCGGGCCGCUUCAUCCAACAAUACCACCGAACCGAAGUGUGACAUGCUGGUAAGCAGUAUGGCUUAUAUCGCCCACAACUCACUUGUGUUCUACUCGUGCAUAUUACAUCAACGCAUAAAACCUGACUCGGAUGCCACUGUUGGGGAACGUAGUAAUUUCAAAAAAAUUCCUACGCACACGCAAGAUCGUGGUGAUGCAUAGCAACGAGAGGGGAGAGUGUUGUCCACGUACCCUCGUAGACCGAAAGCGGAAGCGUUAGCACAACGCGGUUGAUGUAGUCGUACGUCUUCGUGAUCCGACCGAUCAAGUACCGAACUCACGCCACCUCCGAGUUCAGCACACGUUCAACUCGAUGACGUCCCUCGAACUCCGAUCCAGCCGAGCUUUGAGGGAGAGUUCCGUCAGCACGACGGCGUGGUGACGAUGAUGAUGUUCUACCGAUGCAGGGCUUCGCCUAAGCACCGCUACGAUAUGACCGAGGUGGAUUAUGGUGGAGGGGGCACCGCACACGGCUAAGAGAUCCAAGGGAUCAAUUUUUGUGUCUCCAAGGGGUGCCAACCUCCCCGUAUAUAAAGGAGUGGAGGAGGGGGGAGGGCCGGCCCUCUCUAUGGCGCCCCCUAGGAGGAGUCCUACUCCCACCGGGAGUAGGAUUCCCCCCUUCCAAGUAGUAGGAGUAGGAGUCAAGGAAAGGGGAGAGAGAAGAGAAGGAAGGAGGGGGCGCAGCCCCUCCCCCUAGUCCAACUCGGACUAGGCCUUGGGGGGCGCCCAGCCUCUCUUCUCUCUUUCCCCUAAAGCCCAAUAAGGCCCAUAUACUCCCCGGCGAAUUCCCGUAACUCUACGGUACUCCGAAAAAUACCCGAAUCACUCGGAACCUUUCCGAUGUCCGAAUAUAGUCAUCCAAUAUAUCGAUCUUUACGUCUCGACCAUUUCGAGACUCCUCGUCAUGUCCCAAAUCUCAUCCGGGACUCCGAACUACCUUCGGUACAUCACAACACAUAAACUCAUAAUGUAACCGUCAUCGAACUUUAAGCGUGCGGACCCUACGGGUUCGAGAACAAUGUAGACAUGACCGAGAUACGUCUCCAGUCAAUAACCAAUAACGAAACCUGGAUGCUCAUAUUGGCUCCCACAUAUUGUACGAAGAUCUUUAUCGGUCAAACCGCAUAACAACAUACGUUGUUCCCUUUGUCAUCGGUAUGUUACUUGCCCGAGAUUUGAUCGUCGGUAUCUCAAUACCUAGUUCAAUCUCGUUACCGGCAAGUCUCUUUACUCGUUCCGUAAUACAUCAUCCCGCAACUAACUCAUUAGUUACAAUGCUUGCAAGGCUUAUAGUGAUGUGCAUUACUGAGUGGGCCUAGAGAUACCUCUCCGACAAUCGGAGUGACAAAUCCUAAUCUCGAAAUACGCCAACCCAACAAGUACCUUUGGAGACACUUGUAGAGCACCUUUAUAAUCACCCAGUUACGUUGUGACGUUUGGUAGCACACAAAGUGUUCCUCCGGUAGACGGGAGUUGCAUAAUCUCAUAGUCAUAGGAACAUGUAUAAGUCAUAAAGAAAGCAAUAGCAGAAUACUAAACGAUCAAGUGCUAAGCUAACGGAAUGGGUCAAGUCAAUCACAUCAUUCUCCUAAUGAUGUGAUCCCGUUAAUCAAAUGACAACUCAUGUCUAUGGCUAGGAAACAUAACCAUCUUUGAUCAGCGAGCUAGUCAAGUAGAGGCAUACUAGUGACACUCUGUUUGUCUAUGUACUCACACAUGUAUUAUGUUUCCGGUUAAUACAAUUCUAGCAUGAAUAAUAAACAUUUAUCAUGAUAUAAGGAAAUAUAAAUAACAACUUUAUUAUUGCCUCUAGGGCAUAUUGAAGGAAAUAUGCCCUAGAGGCAAUAAUAAAGUUGUUAUUUAUAUUUCCUUAUAUCAUGAUAAAUGUUUAUUAUUCAUGCUAGAAUUGUAUUAACCGGAAACUUAGUACAUGUGUGAAUACAUAGACAAACAGAGCGUCACUAGUAUGCCUCUACUUGACUAGCUCGUUGAAACCAAGAUGAUCAAGUUUCCUAGCCAUAGACAUGAGUUGUCAUUUGAUUAACGGGAUCACAUCAUUAGAGAAUGAUGUGAUUGACUUGACCCAUUCCGUUAGCUUAGCACUUGAUCGUUUAGUUUGUUGCUAUUGCUUUCUUCAUGACUUAUACAUGUUCCUGUGACUAUGAGAUUAUGCAACUCCCGAAUACCGGAGGAACACUUAGUGUGCUAUCAAACGUCACAACGUAACUGGGUGAUUAUAAGGAUGCUCUACAGGUGUCUCCGAUGGUGUUUGUUGAGUUGGCAUAGAUCGAGAUUAGGAUUUGUCACUCCGGUUGUCGGAGAGGUAUCUCCGGGCCUUCUCGGUAAUGCACAUCACUAUAAGCCUUGCAAGCAAUGUGAAUAAUGAGUUAGUUAUGGGAUGAUGCAUUACGGAACGAGUAAAGAGACUUGCUGGUAACGAGAUUGAACUAGGUAUUGAGAUACCGACGAUCGAAUCUCGGGCAAGUAACAUACCGAUGACAAAGGGAACAACGUAUGUUGUUAUGCGGUUUGACCGAUAAAGAUCUUCGUAGAAUAUGUAGGAACCAAUAUGAGCAUCCAUGUUCCGCUGUUGGUUAUUGAUCGGAGAUGAGUCUCGGUCUUGUCUACAUAGUUCUCGAACCCGUAGGGUCCGCACGCUUAACGUUCGAUGACGAUCGGUAUUAUGAGUUUAUGUGUUUUGAUGUACUGAAGGUUGUUCGGAGUCCCGGAUGUGAUUGCGGACAUGACGAGGACUCUUGAAAUGGUCGAGACAUAAAGAUUGAUAUGUUGGACGACUAUAUUCGGACACCGGAAGUGUUCCGGAGAAGUUUCGGAUAAAACCGGAGUGCCAGAGGGUUAUCGGAACCCCCGGGGAACUAAUGCGCCUCGAUGGGCCUUAGUGGAGAGAGAGAGGGGCGGCCAGGGCAGGCCGCGCGCUCCCUCCCCCUUGAGUCCGAAUUGGACUAGGAAGGGGGGCGGAGCCCCCUUUCCUUCUCCCUCUCCCUCUCCUUCCUUCCCCCUCUCUCCCUUUUGGUGGAAACCUACUAGGACUUGGAGUCCUAGUAGGAUUCCCCUCUUGGGGGCGCGCCAAGGAGGGUCGGCCGGCCUCCCCCCUUGCUCCUUUAUAUACGGGGGCAGGGGGCACCCCAAGACACACAAGUUGAUUGUUUAGCCGUGUGCGGUGCCCCCUCCACAGAUUUCCACCUCGGUCAUAUCGUUGUAGUGCUUAGGAGAAGCCCUGCGUCGGUAACUUCAUCAUCACCGUCAUCACGCCGUCGUGCUAACAAAACUCUCCCUCGACCUCAGCUGGAUCUAGAGUUCGUGGGACGUCACAGAGCUGAACGUGUGCAGAUCGCGGAGGUGCCGUACUUUCAGUGCUAGGAUCGGUCGGAUCGUGAAGACGUACGCCUACAUCAACCGUGUUGUCAUAACGCUUCCGCUUUUGGUCUACGAGGGUACGUGGACGUCACUCUCCCCUCUCGUUGCUAUGCAUCAGCUAGAUGGAUCUUGCGUGUGCGUAGGAAUUUUUUUGAAAUUACUGUGUUCCCCAACAGUAACAUUACCGUCAGCGUCAGUCUUCUUCUUGAAGAUCCAUUUAUUCUCUAUGGCUUGCCGAUCAUCGGGCAAGUCAACCAAAGUCUACACUUUGUUCUCAUACAUGGAUCCCACCUCAGAUUUCAUAGCUUCAAGCCAUUUCGCGGAAUCUGGGCUCAUCAUCGCUUCCUCAUAGUUCGUAAGUUCUUCAUGGUCAAGUAACAUGACCUCCAGAACAGGAUUACCGUACCACUCUGGUGCGGAUCUUACUCUGGUUGACCUACGAGGUUCGGUAGUAACUUGAUCUGAAGUUACAUGAUCAUUAUCAUUAGCUUCCUCACUAAUUGGUGUAGGAGUCACAGGAACUGAUUUUUGUGAUGAACUACUUUCAAAUAAGGGAGCAGGUACAGUUACCUCAUCAAGUUCUACUUUCCUCCCACUCACUUCUUUCGAGAGAAACUCCUUCUCUAGAAAGGAUCCAUUCUUAGCAACGAAUGUCUUGCCUUCGGAUCUAUGAUAGAAGGUGUACCUAACAUUCUCCUUUGGGUAUCCUAUGAAGACACAUUUCUCCGAUUUAGGUUCGAGCUUAUCAGGUUGAAGGUUUUUCACAUAAGCAUCGCAGCCCCAAACUUUAAGAAACAACAACUUGGGUUUCUUGCCAAACCACAGUUCAUAAGGUGUCGUCUCAACGGAUUUAGAUAGCGUCCUGUUUAACGUGAAUGCAGCUGUCUCUAAAGCAUAACCCCAAAACGAUAGCGGUAAAUCAGUAAACGACGUUCGGACACACCAUUAUGCUGUGGUGUUCCGGGUGGUGUGAGUUGCAAAACUAUUUCACAUUGUUUCAAAUGAAGACCAAACUCGUAACUCAAAUAUUCUCCUCCACGAUCAGAUCGUAGAAACUUUAUUUUCUUGUUACGAUGAUUUUCCACUUCACUCUGAAAUUCUUUGAACUUUUCAAAUGUUUCAGACUUAUGUUUCAUUAAGUAGAUAUACCCAUAUCUGCUCAAAUCAUCUGUGAAGGUCGGAAAAUAAUGAUACCCGCCGCGAGCCUCAAUAUUCAUUGGACCACAUACAUCAGUAUAUAUGAUUUCCAACAAAUCCGUUGCUCGCUCCAUUGUUCCGGAGAACGGAGUUUUAGUCAUCUUGCCCAUAAGGCAUGGUUUGCAAGUACCAAGUGAUUCCAAAAGUCCAUUAGAAUGGAGUUUCUUCAUGCGCUUUACACCAAUAUGACCUAAACGGCAGUGCCACAAAUAAGUUGCACUAUCAUUAUCAACUCUGCAUCUUUUGGCUUCAAUAUUAUGAAUAUGUGUGUCACUACUAUCGAGAUUCAACAAAAAUAGACCACUCUUCAAGGGUGCAUGACCAUAGAAGAUAGUACUCAUAUAAAUAGAACAACCAAUAUUCUCAGAUUUAAAUGAAUAACCAUCUCGCAUCAAACAAAAUCCAUAUAUAAUGUUCAUGCUUAACGCUGGCACCAAAUAACAAUUAUUCAGGUCUAAAACUAAUCCCGAAGGUAGAUGUAGAGGUAGCGUGCCGACGGCGAUCACAUCGACUUCGGAACCAUUUCCCACGCGCAUCAUCACCUCGUCCUUAGCCAAUCUUCGCUUAAUCCGUAGUCCCUGUUCCGAGUUGCAAAUAUUAGCAACAGAACUAGUAUCAAAUACCUAGGUACUACUGCGAGCAUUAGUAAGGUACACAUCAAUAACAUGUAUAUCACAUAUACCUUUGUUCACUUUGCCAUCCUUCUUAUCCGCCAAAUACUUGGGGCAGUUCGCUUCCAGUGACUAGUCCCUUUGCAGUAGAAGCACUCAGUCUUAGGCUUAGGUCCAGACUGGGGCUUCUUCACUUGAGUAGCAACUUGCUUGCUAUUCUUCUUGAAGUUCCCCUUCUUCCCUUUACCCUUUUUCUUGAAACUGGUGGUCUUGUUGACCAUCAACACUUGAUGCUCCUUCUUAAUUUCUACCUCCGCAGCCUUUAGCAUCACGAAGAGCUCGGGAAUUGUCCUAUCCAUCCCUUGCAUAUUAUAGUUCAUCCCGAAGCUCUUGUAGCUUGGUGGCAGUGAUUGAAGAACUCUGUAAAUGACACUAUCAACUGGAAUAUUAACUCCUAGCCGAGUCAAGUGAUUAUGAUACCCAGACAUUUUGAGUAUAUGCUCACUGACAGAACUAUUCUCCUCCAUUUUGCAGCUGAAGAACUUAUUGGAGACUUCAUAUCUCUCAAUUCGGACAUUUGCUUGAAAUAUUAACUUCAACUCCUGGAACAUCUCAUAUGCUCCAUGACGUUCAAAACAUCGUUGAAGUCCCGGUUCUAAGCCGUAAAGCAUGACACACUGAACUAUCGAGUAGUCAUCAGCUUUGCUCUGCCAGACAUUCACAACGUCCGGCGUUGCUCCUGCAGCGGGUCUUGCACCUGAUACGUCUCCAACGUAUCUAUAAUUUUUGAUUGUUCCAUGCUAUUAUAUAUUCUGUUUUGGAUGUUUAAUGGGCUUUAUUAUACACUUUUAUAUUAUUUUUGGGACUAACCUACUAACCGGAGGCCCAACCCAAAUUGCUGUUUUUUUGCCUAUUUCAGUGUUUCGCAGAAAAGGAAUAUCAAACGGAAUCCAAACGGAAUGAACCUUCGGGAGAGUUAUUUUUGGAACAAACGUGAUCCAGAGGACUUGGAGUGGACGUCAAGAAACAUACGAGGAGGCCACGAGGCAGGGAGGCGCGCCUGCCCCCCUAGGCGCGCCCCCACCCUCAUGGGCCCCUCGUUGCUCCACCGGCCUACUUCUUCCUCCUAUAUAUACCUACAUACCCCGAAACCAUCGAGGAGCACCACGAAAACCUAUUUCCACCGCCGCAACCUUCUGUACCCGUGAGAUCCCAUCUUGGGGCCUUUUCCGGCACUCCGCAGGAGGGGGCAUCGAUCACGGAGGGCUUCUACAUCAACACCAUAGCCUCUCCGAUGAUGUGUGAGUAGUUUACCUCAGACCUUCGGGUCCAUAGUUAUUAGCUAGAUGGCUUCUUCUCUCUCUUUGGAUCUCAAUACAAAGUUCUCCUCGAUUCUCUUGGAGAUCUAUUCGAUGUAACUCUUUUUGUGGUGUGUUUGUGGAGAUCCGAUGAAUUGUGGGUUUAUGAUCAAGAUUAUCUAUGAACAAUAUUUGAAUCUCCUCUUAAUUCUUUUAUGUAUGAUUUGUUAUCUUUGCAAGUCUCUUCGAAUUAUCAGUUUGGUUUGGCCUGCUAGAUUGAUCUUUCUUGCAAUGGGAGAAGUGCUUAGCUUUGGGUUCAAUCAUGCGGUGCUCGAUCCCAGUGACAGUAGGAGAACCGACACGUAUUGUAUUGUUGCCAUCGAGGAUAAAAAUAUGGGGUUUAUAUCAGAUUGCUUGAGUUUAUCCCUCUACAUCAUGUCAUCUUGCCUAAUGCGUUACUCUGUUCUUAUGAACUUAAUACUCUAGAUGCAUGCUGGAUAGCGGUCGAUGUGUGGAGUAAUAGUAGUAGAUGCAGGCAGGAGUCAGUCUACUUGUCGCGGACGUGAUGCCUAUAUACAUGAUCAUGCCUAGAUAUUCUCAUAAUUAUGCUCAAUUCUAUCAAUUGCUCGACAGUAAUUUGUUCACCCACCGUAAUACUUAUGCUAUCUUGAGAGAAGCCACUAGUGAAACCUAUGGCCCCCCGGGUCUAUUCUCUAUCAUAAUAAUCUCUCGUUAUUUCUAUCAACGUUUAUUUUGCUUUCUUUACUUUUAGUCUUUAUUAUAAAAAUACCAAAAAUAUUAUCUUAUCAUCUCUAUCAGAUCUCGCUUUUGCAAGUGGCCAUGAAGGGAUUGACAACCCCUUUAUCGCAUUGGUUGCAAGGUUCUUAUUUGUUUGUGUAUAUACGAGGGACUCGCGCAUGGUCUCCUACUGGAUUGAUACUUUGGUUCUCAAAAACUGAGGGAAAUACUUACGCUACUUUGCUGCAUCACCCUUUCCUCUUCAAGGGAAAACCAACGCAGUGCUCAAGAGGUAGCAAGAAGGAUUUCUGGCGCCAUUGCCGGGGAGUCUACGCACAAGUCAAGACAUACCAAGUGCCCAUCACAAACUCUUAUCCCUCGCAUUACAUUAUUUGCCAUUUGCCUCUUGUUUUCCUCUCCCCCACUUCACCCUUGCCGUUUUAUUCGCCCUCUUUUUUCGUUCGCCUUUUUCUUUCGCUUGCUUCUUGUUUGCCUGUGUGUUGGAUUGCUUGCUUGUCACGAUGGCUCAAGAUAAUACUAAAUUGUGUGACUUUGCCAAUACCAACAACAAUGAUUUUCUUAGCACUCCGAUUGCUCCUCUUACCGAUGCUGAAUCUUGUGAAAUUAAUGCUGCUUUGCUGAAUCUUGUCAUGAAAGAUCAAUUCGCCGGCCUUCCUAGUGAAGAUGCCGCUACCCAUCUAAUUAGCUUUGUUCAUUUGUGCGAUAUGCAAAAGAAGAAAGAUGUAGACAAUGAUAUUGUUAAAUUGAAGCUAUUUCCGUUUUCGCUUAGAGAUCGUGCUAAAACUUGGUUUUCGUCUUGGCCUAAAAAUAGUAUUGAUUCAUGGAAAAAGUGCAAAGAUGCUUUUAUCUCUAAAUAUUUUCCUCCCGCUAAGAUCAUCUCUCUUAGAAACGAUAUUAUGAAUUUUAAGCAACUUGAUCAUGAACAUGUUGCACAAGCUUGGGAGAGGAUGAAAUUAAUGAUACGUAAUUGCCCUACACAUGGUGUGAAUUUAUGGAUGAUCAUACAAAUUUCUUAUGCCGGAUUGAAUUUUGCUUCUAGAAAUCUUUUAGACUCAGCCGCGGGAGGCAAUUUUAUGGAAAUCACUUUAGGAGAAGCUACUAAACUCCUAGAUAAUAUUAUGGUUAUUAUUCUUAAUGGCACACUAAAAUAUCUACUAGAAAAAAGGUUCAUGCGAUUGAAGAAAUUAAUGUUUUGAGUGAAAAGAUGGAUGAACUUAUGAAAUUGUUUGCUAAUAAGAGUGUUUCUUCUUAUCCUAAUGAUAUGCCUUUGUCUACUUUGAUUGAGAAUAAUAAUGAAUCUAUGGAUGUGAAUUUUGUUGGUAGGAAUAAUUUUGGUAACAACGCGUAUAGAGGAAACUUUAAUCCUAAGCCAUUCCCUAGUAAUUCCUCUAAUAAUUAUGGUAAUUCCUACAACAAUUCUUAUGGAAAUUUUAAUAAGUUGCCCUCCGAUUUUGAGACUAGUGUUAAAGAGUUUAUGAAUUCGCAAAAGAAUUUCAAUGCUUUGCUUGAAGAAAAAUUACUUAAGGUUGAUGAAUUGGCUAGGAACGUGGAUAGAAUUUCUCUUGAUGUUGAUUGUUUGAAACUUAGAUCUAUUCCACCUAAGCAUGAUAUCAAUGAGUCUCUCAAGGCUAUGAGAAUUUCCAUUGAUGAAUGCAAAGAAAGAACCGCUAGGAUGCGUGCUAAAAAAGAUUGCUUUGUGAAAGCGUGUUCUUCUAAAUUUCAUGAUAAUAAGGAUGAUGAUCUAAAAGUGAUUGAUGUGUCCCCUAUUAAAUCUUUGUUUUGCAAUAUGAAUCUUUAUAAUGAUGGGACUGGAGAUGAGUCAACUUUAGUUAGAAGGCGUCCCAAUGAUUCGGAGUUUUUAGAUCUUGAUGCAAAAAUUGGUAAAAGUGGGAUUGAAGAGGUCAAAACUUUACAUAGCAAUGAACCCACUAUUUUGGAUUUCAAGGAAUUUAAUUAUGAUAAUUUAUCUUUAAUAGAUUGUAUUUCCUUUUUGCAAUCUGUGCUAAAUUCUCCUCAUGCUUAUAGUCAAAAUAAGGCUUUUACUAAACAUAUUGUUGAUGCUUUAAUGCAAUCUUAUGAAGAAAAGCUUGAAUUGGAAGUUUCUAUCCCUAGAAAACUUUAUGAUGAGUGGGAACCUACUAUUAAAAUUAAAAUUAAAGAUCAUGAAUUCUAUGCUUUGUGUGAUUUGGGUGCUAGUGUUUCCACGAUUCCAAAAACUUUGUGUGAUUUGCUAGGUUUCCGUGAUUUUGAUAAUUGUUCUUUAAACUUGCACCUUGCGGAUUCCACCAUUAAGAAACCUAUGGGAAGAAUUAACGAUGUUCUUAUUGUUGCAAAUAGGAACUAUGUGCCCGUAUAUUUCAUUGUUCUUGAUAUAGAUUGCAAUCCUUCGUGUCCUAUUAUUCUUGGUAGACCUUUCCUUAGAACGAUUGGUGCAACUAUUGAUAUGAAGGAAGGGAAUAUUAGAUUCCAAUUUCCGUUAAGGAAAGGCAUGGAACACUUCCCUAGAAAGAAAAUUAAAUUACCUUAUGAAUCUAUUAUGAGAGCUACUUAUGGAUUGCAUGCCAAAGAUGGCAAUACCUAGAUCUAUCCUUGCCUUUAUGCCUAGCUAGGGGCGUUAAACGAUAGCGCUUGUUGGGAGGCAACCCAAUUUUAUUUUAUUUUCUUGCUUUUUAUUUCUGUUUAGUAAUAAAUCUUUGAUCUAGCCUCUGGUUAGAUGUGGUAUUAUGUUUUAAUUAGUGUUUGUGCCAAGUAAAACCUAUAAGAUCUUCUUGGAUGAUAGUUAUUUGAUCUUGCUGCAAAUUCAAGAAACUUUAUGUUCCCGAAAACAAUUGUUAAAAAUCACCAGAACGUGAUAAAAUACUGAUUCCAAUUGCAUUAGUUCAAUAAAAAAUUAUCUAGGUAGUCCUAUUUUGGUAGAUUUUUCGGAGUUCGAGAAGUUUGCGUUUGAUACAGAUUACUACAGACUGUUCUGUUUUUGACAGAUUCUGUUUUUCGUGUGUUGUUUGCUUAUUUUGAUGAAUCUAUGGCUAGUAACGGAGCUUAUGAACCAUAGAGAAGUUGAAAUACAUUAGGUUUAAGACCAAUAUAAAUAAAUAAUGAUUUCAUUACAGUACCUUAAAGUGGUGGUUUGUUUUAUUUCGCUAACGGAGCUCAUGAGAUUUUCUGUUGAGUUUUGUGUUGUGAAGUUUUCAAGUUUUGUGUAAAGAUUUGAUGGAUUAUGGAACAAGGAGUGGAAAGAGCCUAAUCUUGGGGAUGCACAAGGCACCCCAAGGUAAAAUUCAAGGACAACCAAAAGCCUAAGCUUGGGGAUGCCCCGGAAGGGAUCCCCUCUUUCGUCUUCGUCCAUCGGUAACUCUACUUGGAGCUAUAUUUUUAUUCACCACAUGAUAUGUGUUUUGCUUGGAGCGUCUUGUAUGAUUUGAGUCUUUGCUUUUUAGUUUUCCACAAUCAUCCUUGCUGUACAAACCUUUUGAGAGAGACACACACAUGAUUCGGAAUUUAUUAGAAUACUCUAUGUGCUUCACUUAUAUCUUUUGAGCUAGAUAAUUUUUGCUCUAGUGCUUCACUUAUAUCUUUUAGAGCAUGGUGGUGGUUUAUUUUAUAGAAAUUAUUGAUCUCUCUUUCUUCACUUAUAUUAUUUUUAGAGUGCUAUAAAACAGCAUGGUAAUUUGCUUUGGUUGAAAUUUUAGUCCUAAAAGUGAUGAGCAUCCAAGAUAGGUAUAAUAAAAACGAUCAUAAAAAGUGCAUUGAAUACUAUGAGAAGUUUGAUACUUGAUAAUUGUUUUGAGAUAUGAAGAUGGUGAUAUUAGAGUCAUGCUAGUUGAGUAGUUGUGAAUUUGAUAAAUACUUGUGUUAAAGUUUGUGAUUCCCGUAGCAUGCACGUAUGGUGAACCGUUAUGUGAUGAAGUCGGAGCAUGAUUUAUUUAUUAAUUAUCUUCCUUAUGAGUGGCGGUCGGGGACGAGCGAUGGUCUUUUCCUACCAAUCUAUCCCCCUAGGAGCAUGCGCGUAGUACUUUGUUUCGAUAACUAAUAGAUUUUUGCAAUAAGUAUAUGAGUUCUUUAUGACUAAUGUUGAGUCCAUGGAUUAUACGCACUCUCACCCUUCCACCAUUGCUAGCCUCUCUAAUACCGCGCACCUUUCGCCGGUAUCAUACACCCACCAUAUAUCUUCCUCAAAACAGCCACCAUACCUACCUAUCAUGGCAUUUCCAUAGCCAUUCCGAGAUAUAUUGCCAUGCAACUUACCACCGUUCCGUUUAUUAUGACACGCUCCAUCAUUGUCAUAUUGCUUUGCAUGAUCAUGUAGUUGACAUCGUAUUUGUGGCAAAGCCACUGUUCAUUAUUUUCAUACAUGUCACUUUUGAUUCAUUGCAUAUCCCGGUACACCGCCGAAGGCAUUCACAUAGAGUCAUAUUUUGUUCUAAGUAUUGAGUUGUAAUUCUUGAGUUGUAAGUAAAUAAAAGUGUGAUGAUCAUCAUUAUUAGAGCAUUGUCCCAAGUUAGGAAAGGAUGAUGGAGACUAUGAUUCCCCCACAAGUCGGGAUGAGACUCCGGACGAAAAAAAAGAGGCCAUAAAAAAAAGAGAAAAGGCCCAAACAAAAAAAAUGACAGAAAAAGAGAGAAGGGACAAUGUUACUAUCCUUUUUCCACACUUGUGCUUCAAAGUAGCACCAUGAUCUUCAUGAUAGAGAGUCUCCUAUGUUGUCACUUUCAUAUACUAGUGGGAACUUUACAUUAUAGAACUUGGCUUGUAUAUUCCAAUGAUGGGCUUCCUCAAAUUGCCCUAGGUCUUCAUGAGCAAGCAAGUUGGAUGCACACCCACUUAGUUUAUUUUGUUGAGCUUUCAUACACUUAUAGCUCUAGUGCAUCCGUUGCAUGGCAAUCCCUACUCACUCACAUUGAUAUCUAUUAAUGGGCAUCUCCAUAGCCCGUUGAUACGCCUAGUUGAUGUGAGACUAUCUUCUCCUUUUUGUCUUCUCCACAACCACCAUUCUAUUCCACCUAUAGUGCUAUGUCCAUGGCUCACGCUCAUGUAUUGCGUGAAGAUUGAAAAAGUUUGAGAACACCAAAAGUAUGAAACAAUUGUUUGGCUUCUCAUCGGGGUUGUGCAUGAUUUAAAUAUUUUGUGUGGUGAAGAUAGAGCGUAGCCAGACUAUAUGAUAUUGUAGGGAUAACUUUCUUUGGCCAUGUUAUUUUGAGAAGACAUGAUUGCUUUGAUUAGUAUGCUUGAAGUAUUAUUAUUUUUAUGUCAAUAUUAAACUUUUAUCUUGAAUCCUUCGGAUCUGAAUAUUAAUGCCAAAAUAAAGAGAAUUACAUUGAGAAAUAUGCUAGGAAGCAUUCCACAUCAAAAAAUCUGUUUUUAUCAUUUACCUACUCGAGGACGAGCAGGAAUUAAGCUUGGGGAUGCUUGAUACGUCUCCAACGUAUCUAUAAUUUUUUAUUGUUCCAUGCUAUUAUAUAUUUUGUUUUGGAUGUUUAAUGGGCUUUAUUAUACACUUUUAUAUUAUUUUUGGGACUAACCUACUAACCGGAGGCGCAGCCCAAAUUGCUGUUUUUUUGCCUAUUUCAGUGUUUCGCAUAAAAGGAAUAUCAAACGGAAUCCAAACGGAAUGAAACCUUCGAGAGAGUUAUUUUUGAAACAAACGUGAUCCAGAGGACUUGGAGUGGACGUCAAUAAACAUACGAGGAGGCCACGAGGCAGGGAGGCGCGCCUGCCCCCCUGGGCGCGCCCCCCACCCUCGUGGGCCCCUCGUAGCUCCACCGACCUACUUCUUCCUCCUAUAUAUACCUACGUACCCCGAACCCAUCGAUAAGCACCACGAAAACCUAUUUCCACCGCCGCAACCUUCUGUACCCGUGAGAUCCCAUCUUGGGGCCUUUUCCGGCGCUCCGCCGGAGGGGGCAUCGAUCACGGAGGGCUUCUACAUCAACACCAUAGCCUGUCCGGUGAUAUGUGAGUAGUUUAGACCUUCGGGUCCAUAGUUAUUAGCUAGAUGGCUUCUUCUGUCUCUUUGGAUCUCAAUACAAAGUUCUCCUCGAUUCUCUUGGAGAUCUAUUCGAUGUAACUCUUUUUGCGGUGUGUUUGUCAAGAUCCGAUGAAUUGUGGGUUUAUGAUCAAGAUUAUCUAUGAACAAUAUUUGAAUCUCCUCUGAAUUCUUUUAUGUAUGAUUUGUUAUCUUUGCAAGUCUCUUCGAAUUAUCAGUUUGGUUUGGCCUGCUAGAUUGAUCUUUCUUGCAAUGGGAGAAGUGCUUAGCUUUGGGUUCAAUCAUGCGGUGCUCGAUCCCAGUGACAGUAGGGGAACCGACACGUAUUGUAUUGUUGCCAUCGAGGAUAAAAAGAUGGGGCUUAUAUCACACUGCUUGAGUUUAUCCCUCUACAUCAUGUCAUCUUACCUAAUGCGUUACUCUGUUCUUAUGAACUUAAUACUCUAGAUGCAUGCUGGAUAGCGGUCGAUGUGUGGAGUAAUAGUAGUAGAUGCAGGCAGGAGUCGGUCUACUUGUCGCGGACGUGAUGCCUAUAUACAUGAUCAUGCCUAGAUAUUCUCAUAACUAUGCUCAAUUCUAUAAAUUGCGCCAAGGGGGAGGAAUCCUCCUCCUGGUAGGAGUAGGACUCCCCCCUUUCCUAGUCCUACUAGGAGAAGAAGGAAGGAGGGGGCGCCGCCCCUCCCCCUAGUCCAAUUCGGACUAGGCCCAUGGGGGGCGCGCGACCAGCCCUUGGCAGCCCCUCUCUCUCUCCCCUAGGCCCAACAAGUCCCAUUACUUCUCUGGUGGUUCCGAUAACCCUUCCGGCACUCCGAUAUUUAUCCGGUGACCCUCAGAACUCAUCGAAUGUCCGAAUAACAUUGUACAAUAUAUCAUUCUUUAUGUCUUGACCAUUUCGAGACUCCUCGUCAUGUCCGUGAUCACAUCCGGGACUUCGAACUACCUUCGGUACAUCAAAACACAUAAACUCAUAAUACCGAUCGUCAUCGAACGUUAAGCGUGCGGACCCUACGGGUUCGAGAAAUAUGUAGACAUGACUGAGACUCAUCUCCGGUCAAUAACAAAUAGCGGGACCUGGAUGCUCAUAUUGGCUCCCACAUAUUCUACGAAGAUCUUUAUCGGUCAAACCGCAUAACAACAUACGUUGUUCCCUUUGUCAUCGGUAUGUUACUUGCUCGAGAUUCGAUCGUCGGUAUCUCAAUACCUAGUUCAAUCUCGUUACCGGCAAGUCUCUUUACUCGUUCCGUAAUGCAUCAUCCCGUUACUAACUCAUUAGUCACAUUGCUUACAAGGUUUAUAGUGAUGUGCAUUACUGAGAUGGCCUAGAGCUACCUCUCCGACAAACGGAGUGACAAAUCCUAAUCUCGAUCUAUGCCAACUCAACAAGCACCAUCGGAGACACCUGUAGAGCAUAUUUAUAGUCACCCAUUUACGUUGUGACGUUUAAUAGCACACUAAGUGUUCUUCCGGUAUUCGGGAGUUGCAUAAUCUCAUAGUCAUAGGAACAUGUAUAAGUCAUGAAGAAAGCAAUAGCAACAAACUAAACGAUCAUCGUGCUAAGCUAACAGAUGGGUGUUGUCAAUCACAUCAUUCUCUAAUGAUGUGAUCCCGUUCAUCAAAUGACAACUCAUGUCUAUGGCUAGGAAACUUAACCAUCUUUGAUUAACGAGCUAGUCAAGUAGAGGCAUACUAGUGACACUCUGUUUGUCUAUGUAUUCACACAUACUAAGUUUUCGGUUAAUACAAUUCUAGCAUGAAUAAUAAACAUUUAUCAUGAUAUAAAGAAAUAUAAAUAACAACUUUAUUAUUGCCUCUAGGGCAUAUUUCCUUCAUGUUACGCAUAGGGAUGUGUGGUGGACUCUCGGCCAUUUCGACGGCAACCACAACCAUCCCCUCAUCAAAAAGCCGUCCCUAGUAAAAUUUCUGACAUCACAUCGAAACAUCCCCGAGGAGGAAAAUGACUUCUUAAGAAUUAUACACGGGUACAACAUCGAGACUGCAAGGUAGAUGUAGGUGAUUGCAUGGUUCUACGCGUGUACUCAAGAUGUACCCUACACGACACAAGAUAUUUCCAAUGAGCGAGCUAAAUUUCACAUGUAGAACCGCCACAUAGAUGUGGGAAGCAAUAUUGCAUACUUCUAGGAGAUGAGGACCAAGGAUUCCUAUUUCUAAUGGAGAAUCAAUAUUGAUGACGAGGGUAAGGUGGAGAACUUGUUUUGGACAGAUGACGCGUCACGCAUGGCCUAUGCAAAGUACAGUGUCUAUGUGUCAUUUGACACUACAUACGUGGCAAACAUGCAAUAAGAUGUCAUGUGGGCCAUUAAUCGGCAUUAAAUAACCAUGGACAAUACAUCUAGUUUGGUUGUGGCUUCAUUUGCAAUGAACCGAUAGAGAACUUUGUGUUGUUGUUUAACAUGUUUCUGCAUGUAAUGGGUAGUGUUGACCAAAAAUAGCAUCACUUAUCAAUACUUUAUAAUGAAGGCUGCCAUGGACGAGGUGUUCAUGAACAUAAAACACAGAAAUUGCCGUUAACAUAUUACUCCUGUAAAGGAUGCUGGAGUACCAGCCUUCUAGGGGCCUCGCCGCGCAAGAGUGCCCUCCACGCCGUCUGCGGCUGACACGCUCUGCGCCAUCCGAUCUACUCGUGCACCUCGCAUCCGCCUAGUUUUCUCGGGGGUUCAUGACGCCUGGGCCGCGGGUGCGACUAGGGCCACCUUCCUGUGUUGUUUUCGAUCGCGCCCACGUGCAUCGUCUCGCGCGUUGCCCCGCACGCGACGUGUGUACCCGGGCUAGGCUGUCAGCGUCAUGCACCCCCCCCCCCCCAGCCCCACCCCAUAUUACAUAUUAAGAAAAGCAAAUCCUUUUGGUGACCGGCCAAUCGAAAAACUAUCGACCCCAUGGCUCCUUUGUGCCAAAGCCAGGUGUCCAAAUCCGACCGCUCAGACCUUUCACUUCUCCUUGGCCAAAAUUCCGUGUCCGGCUUAUAAACCCGACCGAAGAAAGUAAUAUGCAUAUUUUUUUUCCAAACAUUCUGCGCACUUAAUAUGACGCCCUCGCAAAUGCCUGCUGGUGCUCAAGAGAAUUGAAUGAGAUGCUUAAGCAGAAACCACUUAACUGCUCAAACUGCUACCGUUCAGAUAAAAAGGAAGGAAGUGAACACCGCACAGUUCGACAGAUAUCAGAAAACCCUCCGCAAAAUAGAUGAAAAUGAGGGGCGACGCCGAGGACCAAGGAACGCUGGUCCUUUCUCAAAAGAGAAAAAAAAUGAAGAAGCAAGGAGCGCUGGUCCUGCUCCACACAGACACAGGUCAUGGAUGGCCUCAUGGGUUACCACCAGCUGCCGCGAGACGAUUCCAGCAGAAAUGUCCAAAGAUCCCUCGUAUUCUGCCGGGUGAAAUAAACAAAGCCUUUCCGCUCUGCUUUCCCGUUGCGACAAACCGAGGAAGCAGAUGGAUGCGUCUGCCGAAAACGGCGCGUCCAAUGCGCUUCAGAAGAGGCGCUCGGUUUUACAUCACUAAUCUAAUCUACACCGUCAAGUUGCAUCUCCCUGGUUAGUGCAUUUGCCUCUCCAGACUAAUCAUCAGUCAGUCUUAGUGCCGUUCCCCCAAGAAAACCUGCUACGCUCUGCGCCACUAGCAUUGCACGUUGGGGUUCUGAAAUGCUCCAGAGAUGUUUGUUUGUUUUCUGCGCGCUCCAAGGUACGGUUUGAUGGUAAACUAAUGCGAGUAGUGGGUUAGUGUAACUGCCGUGUGCCCCAGGGUUAGUUUCAAGGAGUACAUUAUUUUAGACAAUGAAAGUUAGGUUUACUGCGAAGGCAUACGACCAUGGCCACGGCUGACAAAGAUGACACAGGAAAAAAGAUACUUCUAUAGCUUAGGUAUUAGGGUUCAACACAAAAGUUCAUGCAGAGCUACUCCCUCCGUUCGGAAUUACUCGUUCAAAAAUGAAUGUAUCUAGAUAUAUUUUAGUUGUAGAUACAUUCAUUUUUGUGACAAGUAAUUUCGAAUGGAGGGAGUACAUUUGAUUUCUUCUCUUCGGAUUAAGUCUCAACGGCGCACAACCGCACUGCAUCACUGCAUGUUGGUCACUGAUGAUCUUGGCCUGCUACCUAGCUUAGGGUAGGUAAAGCGGCCGCGUUUCUAUGCAGCAUGUCCGUGAAUCUUGUUUUUCUCUGGCGCCGGGACGUGCGCCUUGGGUACCGGCCGGACGGGACAGAGGGGAAGGGAGGCGGCCUGGCUAGUCUACCAUGCCCAUGGGCGCCAUGGGUGCUGGCCGCAAGCUGGACGCAACGAGGCAGCGGCAUGUGAGGAUGCUUUGGAUGGUAGCUGGCCACUGAAUCUGCGCGCAAGCAAGCGGACUAGCGCCAGAGAUGAGCUGAGCCUGAGCGCCACACUGUAGACAUGGUGCAUGCAGCCACACGAGGCCAUCCUUUUUUGGCCUUUUGUUCUCCGAUGAAGCCCCUUUUAGUCGCUCCGGCACGCACACGGCACAGCGAAUAAUUAUAGCGGUUCGUGCUCAAGUGUGUUUUGUUGCUCGAUAAAGCUCCCCUUACUCUAUCACUCGCAAAGCAAGUACUCCUAGCUCGGCGUAUAAUCACUACUUAGCAAGCAGUGAUUAUGGUUGUUUGUGCUCUACUAGCACUAACAAGUGAAAUGGAUCCCCCGCUGCAAAAUUGAAGAAAGAAAUCAACGAAAAACGUAAUAAAUAAAUCCACAAGUGCUCAUCGAUCAGCUCUGCACCGGAGGCUAUUCGGACUAAAAAAGUGUUUCAGUUCAUCGAUAAUCGGAAAAGGAAAAAGAUACUCCUGCGUCCCAUCCAUCCGCGCCGAGAUUGUAAACGGCUGGAGUCCACGACCGUCUCGGUUCCCCUCAUGUUCCCGUUCACAUCGCACGGCUCCUUUUUCCCGUCAUCUCCGCCGCGCACCAACGGAACCAACCCUUCCCCGGUCCUAUAUAUCCUCGCGAAUGCCCCCGCACUUCCCUCCUCGCUCCCGCGCCCCCACGCAAGCGCACACUCGCACUCUCUAGGCGCGCAGCCGGUACAAAUCGUGCGUACCGGCGUCAGUCACGCACGGUGCCUUUCGCCCACACGCGCGCGCGUCCACGCCGAGCUGAGCUGAGCUGAGCAGGGGCCUGUUCGACCGGCAAUGGCGGGAGCCCUCUCGUGCGCCGGCCUGCUGGCGGUGGUCGCGCUCGCGUGCGUCCUCGACGCCGCGACCGCGCAGCUGCGGCAGAACUACUACGCCAGCAGCUGCCCCAGCGCCGAGUCCACCGUGCGCUCCGUCAUCUCGCAGCACGUGCAGCAGAGCUUCGCCGUCGCGCCCGGCACCCUCCGCCUCUUCUUCCACGACUGCUUCGUCCGCGUAAGCCGCUCGUCUCUUCCCUUCUUGCUCCGCCGUGCUGGCAUUGCUGCUCGCCGUGCCCUGACCGUGACUCUGUUGCUGUGCGCAGGGGUGCGACGCGUCGGUGAUGCUGAUGGCGGCGAACGGGGACGACGAGAGCCACAGCGGCGCGGACGCCACGCUGUCGCCCGACGCCGUGGAGGCCAUCAACAAGGCCAAGGCCGCCGUCGAGGCGCUCCCCGGGUGCGCCGGCAAGGUCUCCUGCGCCGACAUCCUCGCCAUGGCCGCGCGCGACGUCGUCUCCCUGGUACGUAUCCCUUUACCACUUCAGCCAUCGUACCGCCGUGUAAACAAGGGCCGUGCCGCGCUAUCCCGUGACACCGGGGUAGCCGGGCGUAGGGAGCUAGAGCGGGACGCAUGCGCCCCUGUCAGUCGAGCCAGGCUCGCACGGACCCCAGGACUCCGAAAUGCGCAAGUCCUGGUUGGCUCAGGCAGUCAGGCUCGUCUCCUCUCACUCUCUCCUCCGUGACCCCAGCCGGGCGGGCCACGGUCCGGCCUUGCCGUGUGCGCGCAACCCUUUUGCUGAGCGCGCCCAGCCCCACCAGGCCGGGCGGGGCCGCGGUGACACUGUUCGACCAGCUCGCCCGUCAGUUACUUUUUAGAUAGGCACCGCGCCAUGCUGCUAUGCUGCAUCUAUAGGCUAGGGUAGCCAUGGUCCAGCCCCGCUGCCGGCCGGUGAUCCGCGCCCAUGGCCGGGCCUUGCAUUGCAGAGUCAGAGAGAUGCGGCAGGGUGGCUCGAUCGCUUCCGGUCUCUCGGUCCCUCCCGAAGCGCGAAAAGGCGGUGCCUACGGAGGACACGUGAUGCGUGUCGGGCGCGGCCGGAUGCCCGGCCGGGUCGCGUCGCGACGCACGCAUGCGCCGCGCGGUUCCGGGGCGAGUACCGGGGCACGCACAGCCAGCGUACUUCUUUAGCCUCCGGCCUCUGCUCUGGGCCUCCGGCGCUUUCAGCGACAGGGACGUGACCUGAAAUGAGAUUCGAGGAGAUCGAUGGGAAGCUAGUCGGGUUCUGCGCAACCCCGGGUCACUGUAGGCUCGGUGUCGUCUGUAUGUUGCCCGUGAGGCCGUGACGGGUGCCUGUGUCUGUGAGGACGCUGCCUGCGACUGCAAGGCGUGCCCCCGCCCAGCAGGCAGCCAAAGUUUCCAUUCCGUAGAGUCGUAGGCCACUGACAUGCAUGACUAGGUAUGGACAAUUUAGCCUACAUACGAUACGAUACGAGUGCUCCUCGGAGCACCAGGAGAAAAUAUCCCAGCAGGCCCCUUCCCUGCUGAAACUCUGUCAUGGACCGAUGGACGGCUCCCGCUAAAUCGUAAGGAUUACCAUGGGAAUGCAAUACAAAUCGCUGCUGACAAGUUCAUUUUGCUGCUGUUGUUAUUGUAGACUGGCGGGCCGAGCUACGGCGUGGAGCUGGGCCGGCUGGACGGCAGGUCGUUCAGCAAGUCCAUCGUGAAGCACGUCCUCCCGGGCCCCGGCUUCGACCUCAACCAGCUCAACGCGCUCUUCGCCAGCAACGGCCUCACCCAGUUCGACAUGAUCGCGCUCUCCGGUACACCACUGCUUUCCCUCCCUUCCUUCCGUCGUCACCACACCUCCUCGCAUUCGCAUGCACAGUGAUUAAAGAUUCCUCGUUAGCGUUUGCACCGUAUUAUUGUAUUCAACAUUCAGUAAGCAGUAGGUUGAUCGCAGCGCAAGCAUCUUUCUUUGGCCCUGUGCGCACUUCACGUGACACAUCCUGCUGCUUGGAGCAGAGGACAAAGCGGCUCACUGUUCCACACUGCACUGCAUUUCCCUCUUAUUUUUCGAUGAAAAGAGCCUCCCACAUUUGUUUUGUUUGCUUCGAAAGUAGAAAAACACUGACACGGUGAUAAAACAGAGGUAAUUUCUUUCCCUCGAGGGGAAAUGGAGGCCUCUUUUGCACAGUAACAGGCCCGGAAUCUACUUUCGUUGGAAACACAUAGAAAGUCAUGUGCUGUUUCCUGACAUAGUACUACUAGCAAGUAGACAAAGGAGCCCGUUUGUGUGUUUGCUAACGCUUGUUUUUUGUUUGAUUCCACAUUGGGAGGAUGAUAAACUAUCUCAGUCACAGUGCACGGGCACACAAGACACUUUGUCUGAAUGUUCUUGGUUUCGUGUGAGAUCCUAUGCUUUGCUUUUACAUAACCGGAACGCUUGGAUUCGGGGCCAAAGAAGGCCCACCCUAUGAUGACACGAAAUAGAAACAAAGUACUGAUAGCAGCAACUUUUGACUAAACUGGCCAAUUUGGCCCAUGCAAAGUUCAAAGGACUGUGCAGGCAGGACCACGGGAGCGCAACUGUUUUGCAUAAAAUCUUUCGUCCUUUGAACUGACAAAGUCCACUAGCACUUGCAUCCGAUCCUGAAUUUGCACUUGCGUGUGCUAGCCUACUUGUUUAGCUAUAUUUUCGUUAAUUUGGCAAAAUAAUAUCUUUCUCAUUGCUAAAAGUAAUUCAUCCGUUUCAGUCGACUGAGACUUAGCAAAACCGUAAAACUGAAGAACUGUUUUCUCAAGGAAAAAAAGCAAAAAAUUCAUCCGUUUGUCAUUUUUUUAAUCAAAGUUUGAAUCUGUUUCGUGCCUUGAUUGUGUUACAUAUAUGCCACAGGUGCGCACACGAUCGGGGUGACGCACUGCGACAAGUUCGUGCGGCGGAUCUACACGUUCAAGCAGCGGCUGCGGUACAACCCGCCGAUGAACCUCGACUUUUUGCGGUCGCUGCGCAAGGUGUGCCCCAUGAACUACCCGCCCACGGCGUUCGCCAUGCUGGACGUGACCACGCCCAAGACCUUCGACAACGCCUACUUCGACAACCUCCGGUACCAGAAGGGCCUGCUCGCCUCCGACCAGGUGCUCUUCACCGACCGCCGCUCCCGCCCCACCGUCAACCUCUUCGCCGCCAACUCCUCCGCCUUCUUCGACGCCUUCGUCGCCGCCAUGGCCAAGCUCGGCCGGAUCGGGGUCAAGACCGGCUCCGGCGGCGAGGUGCGCCGGGUCUGCACCGCCGUCAACUAGCUACCGUUCGGUGCGGUCGUGUGUGUGUUAGCCUUGGGCCCGUAGCUAGGUUGGUGAAUCAUUACAUGUGAUGCAGCGCAGAUGCAGGGUGUUUUUGCUUGUGUGUGUGCGUUAGUGUGCUCAUACGCUACGUUUUGUGGUGGGAUUGUGUUAGCCAUUCUUUGAUGGGGAUGUGGUAUGGAAUGGAUUAUUAGUCACAUGGUAAUUACGCUGAAACAAAUGCAAGCACUCUGCUGGAUGUGAAAGUGGUGUUCGUUUGGGUCGCAACAUGCCUGUCUUUGGGGUUCCAGGUUCAGUGAUCGCUUGGAACAUAGAUAGCUCAUGUCAAUCAGUUUAUCUCCACAGCAGCAGAAAUUCGUAGCAAUCACAGACCUCCCAUUGUAUCCCCCUUACGGACUGAUCGAACAACCAGGUGACCAGUAGAGCUCCAAGCUGCAAGGCAGAUACAAGGUGCCCAUGGCUGUGUGCAUCGCCCGAUGCAAAGGCAGGGGUUAUCCUCCUUUUCGAAGAAAAAAAAAAGAUGCAAGGUGCCCAAAAAGUCUGUUCGCAAGGCAUCGAAGAAGAACAAAGCACGCAGGUUAGAAUCGACGAAACCCCCGUCGACUGUCACAUGCUCAAUUUUCCCUUGUUGCUGCUAAGAUAAUCCCGUGAAUCUUCAACUUCAGUUCCAAUAAUCAACCACUCAGUUUGCCUCUUGGCAUUAUUCGUUCAUGUACAAGACUGAAUAUAUAGUUGUUUUCAAAUUGGCAAAGUAUGUUUAUUCAUAUGCAAGUAUGCAACUAGAUGCUGUGACAAACAACAUGUAGAUACACAUCUCAAGGGUUCUUCACACGAUGUCCAUGAAUACAGUAGAUAGCGGAGUUUCAU